rnacentral:lncRNA from 1 species
GCGUGUACAAGACCGUCGGCGCGCGGAGGAAGAGCGUGGAGAAGGCCUUCAAGCUUUAGACCUCAGCUCACUUGUGAUUUGGAGAUCAGUUGCAGAGCAGCAAAGAAACUUGAUUGGUGAUCUAGCUACUAUGUCGGAGUAAAAUAAAUUUAAAAACAGCAACUGGUGAUUGUGAGGUGGAAAUCACGUUUCUGCCAUAUCGACGCUGCUUGAUUCGAGAAUACAAGUUCAAUGUGUGUCCGUGUAUCAUUUACACAUGGGUGGGUAAAAUCAUCGAAACAUGACACACACAUCUUAGAUUCUCAAGAUUUGUUAGGGUACAUCAUAAUGCCUAUCUCCAUUGGCUAAAGAACGCAGUCAACACCACUACAACAUUCUUCGCCCGAGAGCCAAAUGUGCAUCAUGCCACCAGGAACGCCGCCCCGACAUCCAAGACCCUGAGACUCAGCCCACUGCCCACAUUGGCAACUCGUCAACCACAAAAGGAAGAGUAGGAAGGCGCCUCUUUCCGGUCCUUACUCGACACCAGCCACCGAAUCAUGGCGUAUUGGCGACGAAGGCGCCCACACGGCGUCCCCAACAAGUACCACUUGAGUCGGGAGGGAACACGAUCCCGUGGCUCUCAACGGUCCUCGCCGAGAAUGUCACAAGCAUAGUCCCUCUAGCCUUGGCCCAGACGAACCCGAAGGACGCAUCACCCGUAUCGAAGCCGAAAGAUCUGACGGCAAGGCAACCCCUCCCAGAGUCGCAUAAACCACCACCAGCGUGAGGCGUGUUAGACUGCAUGCUCUAUGCUAUUUUGUGAGGCGUGUUAGACUGCAUGUGAGCUCAAUGCGUGUAAUUAAACACGGUGCAAAGUAAAAGAAUUUUUUCUAUGUAGCUUACCUACCACCAGCGUGUGGACAACCAAACACGUUUCAAUCAUGUGGUGUGACAUGAUGUCACCUCUCAAAACACUUGGUGUGAUCUGACAAGGAAGCGUGCAAGUUUCAUGUAUGAAGUUGUAGAUGUGUCUACCGGGCCAUGGCUAAAUUUCUUUUUUGGAAUACGUAAAGCUUGCAUAUCAUUUCAUUGAUAGAAGAAAUUAAGAGUGAGUACAUGGAGUGGUACAACACAUGACACGGACACAGAAGGUGUGAACAUGGCGAUUGUAUAGAUGGACAUGAGAUACUCAGCCCAACCAGAAAAAUAACACGGCUAAACUCGCCACCGUGGGACGCAGCCCGAACCGAACUAACAAGACAACGAAAAUCCACAAAACUACCACCGUGGAAACCGCGAGCAAACAAGACGGCGCCUUCACGAAGGAGAACGACGCCGAGCACCUUCAAGAAGAGGACGACACCCGCUGCCAGCAUCGAAAGGUCAGCAAGGAUUUGUGGCCAUGGCCUACUCAAAUUCUCAGAUUUUUUUUCUAGAUUUUAUUUUUUGCAAAAUUACAUCAUUAAAUUCCACCAUCUAGUUAUUUCAAAUAGAAAUCGUUAUUCGACAGUAGCAGGAUUCACUCCCCUAAAAAUAGGUAUAGCAGGAUUCAGUGAACAAGAAAGACAUAAGAAACCUCUUCGCCACAUUAUAGCCUGCAGGCCGAGCUCGCCGCAUACAUGAUUCAUAAACGAGUUGUCAACCAUCUGGAAGGCGUGGGCUCCGGGCAAGAUGAAAAUGCUGCUCUGGCUGCUGCAUCUUGACAGACUCUGGUGCAACGACAGACUCUAGCGGCGAGGUUGGGCCAACAACUACUUCUGCCAACUCUGCCUCCGCAAUCUCGAGACCUCGUCACAUCUCUUCUGGGAGUGCACCGUCGCCUUUCAAGUUUUUAACGCCGUGGCAUCCUGGGUGGGUUGCUCCGCUCUGGGACACGCCACGUGGAGCGCGGGCGAAUCCAGCACCAAGAGGGUCCGCAUGAUCAUUGAUGGAGCCGACCCUGGCACGAGGAAGGGAAUCAGAUCACUGCUCCCCCUGGUGAUCUGGCACAUCUGGCUGGAGCGCAACGCAUGCACCUUCAGGGGAAAAACAUCAUGCGCCCGAAGCGUCGUUGCAGCUUGCCGACAAGACAUGGAGCAGCGGACCGCCGGAGCCAAAUACAUCGUGCACCCCUUCGGGGACGUGCCAUGAAAUAUAGCGAGCGUGCCCUUAGCCAGCUUUGAGCUUGAUAGGCUGGCUGUGUAAUCCCCGCCCAUCCGAUCAGUUGAUCGAACCCUGUUUCCGGCUCUCUCCUGCUAAUGAAAUGAAAGCCUAGAAUGGCCACUUUAAAAAAAAAUAUUAAAAAAAAACGAGCUGUCAUGGAUCUCGUUGAAUGAACAUAUUGAUUUACCACACUUUGAAGGCCUGAACUAGGCAUGUGCGCGAGGCUCCCCUUUUCAUACACUUCUGUCGUAGAUUCUAAGACUAAGAGUGGUCGUGGGGAAUAGACAAAUGCUCGCCAACUAGCCGGGAAUGCGCUGAAAGAGGGCGGAGGAGGGCAGUGGUGUUCGCAGACUCCUUCUCUUUCCUGCACAUGAUGACACGCUUCAGUGGGCAGUCAGCGGAGAUCCUGAUGCUGUAGGAACACAAUAAGAAGUACAGAUCUGCUAACUCAUACAAAGCAUUCUCUCCUGAAUAAUGUCUCCUACUCCCGUAUUCUCAAGGUAGCAUUGGUUUCUUCUUGCAUUGUGUUUUCCUAACAGUAAGUAUUCGAGAGAAAACUGGUGAUCCUUUUGAACUAUAUUGAGAAAACAUAGACACUUGAUCGGUCCUCCUCGGUCGUAUAUAUACACGGAUAUACAUUGUCUUUUGCUAGCAGCAGGUAGGUUGGUAGAAUUUAAUUUGAUAUGACAUCUUUGCACGGAAAGGACUUCGUGACUGACCGACUGUACCAUUUUAUUUAUGUAACUAUCAUAGUGUGUUUGCACAUAUACAUGAACAACAUCUGAACGGAUUGUUAUUACUAUUAAAAAUUAUACAGAGUAAUAGCGCAUAUAUUCUACACAUCAUACAAUAUUAUAUAUCAUCUUGUAAAUGGGAGGUUGUUGGGAGUGAAUGGUUGAGGCCCCCAAGAAGCAGGCGGUGGAAGAUGGGCGACAGCAGGGGCGACAGCGUGGGCGACGCGACUGCGGUGUGGCAGCCAGCCGUGGCGGGGAAGACGGGCUGGACCGGGGUCCGGCGCACCGCGAGCGUGCUUCAGGUGAGCGGCGGGGAGGGCCGCGCCGGCUCACCGGCAGUGGGGGCCGCAGGUCGCCACAACCGCUUCUGGGCGUUGGCGGCGGAGGACUCGGAAGAGGAAGACGAAGGCGGGGAGCUGGAUCCGGAGCGAGGCCUGUGCGCGGCGCCGGCAGGGCCGUCGCUCGGCGACUUCGUGGCCUUGGCUGCGAAGCACGGCGGGGUGGCCUCGCGCUCGGGGCGCGGGAGUCGCUUCGCGCCGGGCGGCCGUGGCUCCAGAUCCAUUGCUUCUCGCAUCUGGCAGCCGCCGCGGGAGCUCGACUCGGGCUUAGGUGCUGGCGGUUCGUCGGGGGCGGCAGCGAGCAUUCGAGCCAAGGUGGCGGCGAGCCUGACGGAGUCGCAGAUGGAGCUGUCCAGGGAGGACUGGCCGCGCCUGCCGGCGUCCCCCGUGGCGACGGCGGUGGCGGCGGCGGGGGCGACGUGCGGUCCCGAGCCGAUGCGCUCGGCACCAGGCCCUAGGGUUGGGCCGUUGGGCCGUUGGUGGGGGCCCCUUCGGGGUCGGCGUCGUGCGUGGAGCUGGCAGCGGCUUCUGGGCCUGGGCCGAGUGGACUAGGCCUGGAGUCGGCCGCGGCACCGCAGCCUCAUGCUUCACAACGGCCCAACGCGCCGCGGCCCGACUCUGGCCCGAUAACUGGAUAUAUAUGGGUGAGGCGGGGCUGCCUGGAUCCCUGUUUAGGGUUUCCAGCCACCACUCGCGAGGUGCGGCGCUUUGCCCACUCCGCUCGCUCGAUCCAGAUCUGCCCCCCUCCUCCCCCCCUUCUCCAGUCCUUCGCGGCGGUGGUGAUGGGAGACAGGCGUGCGGACAAGCGGCCGAUGGAGGUCUCAGAUCCGGAGGCGGAGCGGCGUAGGGAGCGGGAACUUCGUGACAAGGCGAAGCGUGUGAUGCGCGAGCGCUCGGGUGGACGCGAGGCCAGAGAAGAGCGAGGCGGAUCCCGCGACCAGGGCGGGCGCGAGGGGGAUUGGGGUCCUCCUCCCCCGUGGUGGAUCCAGCAGCAGGAGCGCAAGAAGAAAAAGAAGGUCCAGCAGCGGCGUCGAGAGCUUGAGAGGAAGCCCGAGCCGUUCCCCAGCGAUGGUGGGGGCCACGGGGACCCAAAGGCCAUGAAGCCGAGGGCAGCUUCACUGGCGGUGGCACUGCCCUCUGCUCCCAAGGGUACGGCGGAGGAACCCAUCCCAGUGGAAGUGGCGGCGGACGUGGAGUGCUUCAAGUGCGGGCGCCCCGGCCACUUCCAGUCCCAGUGCAAGUUCUUGCCCCUCUGUGUACUCUGCAAGGAAGAAGGGCAUGCGUCUGCACACUGCCCAACAAGGGGCCGGCAACUCCACCUCCAAAUCAUGGGCAGCGCCAUUUCUGGGGAAGGCUUUUUCUGCCUAGAGUUCGAGGACAUGGACGAGGCCGAAGCACCCAUAGAUGCUCACAUCAAGAACGCGGCCAUCUUAUCUGCGGAGCCGGGGAAACUGAACCUACGGAUUCUCAAGCAAGAAUUGAAGCACAUGGUGACAGGCGACUGGGACUGGCAGGUAUCUCAAGUGGGGGAUGAUGAUUUCGUGGUGGUCUUUCCUUCUGCAGACCUGUUACACAUGGCGAAGUCUAGUGGUAAAUUGUUUCUGUCCAUCAAUGACAUCACUGCGCGGGUGCGCGACAUGUUACACGAGGAGGUCCAACCCAUGGUGAUGCCGGAGACUUGGGUGCGUCUCCAUGGCAUCCCAAAGAAACAUAGGCGUGAAGAUCGCAUCAGGGAAGGGUUCCGAAUGCUGGGCAGGCCAAUUGUGGUCGAUGAACUUUCUCUGAUCAGGUUGGGGCCUGUUCGGAUGAAGCUUGCGUGCAAAGCCCCGGAGAAGCUCAAUGGAGUUGUCGAGGUAUGGUUCAACCAUGAGGGAUACCAAAUCAAGGUGGAGCGCGAGACCCUGCCCAAAAGGGGUGGUGAGCGGGCCGUGCUGGGAGCGGGCCCUGCCAACCCCCCUGACAAGGUCGCGAAUCCGGGCGCUCGGACGCUGGGCACCGAAAAGCACGGCAGGGCCGAACCAGGCAAGGAGUCGCAAGGGUGUGAGGGCGGCCCUCGUGGUGCGGAGUACCAGGAUACCAAGAUGACAGACAAGGGAGAGGACCAAGACGACAGCAUUCAGGACACUUCCAUUGACACGGAAACUUGGGACAAGCUGGGCGCGUUGUCGGCCGAGAUUGGUGCCAUGGGGGUGGCGACACAGGACACCGCGGUCAGCGGGCCCCCGCUAGCCAGGUCGCUGGAACUUACCUUCAACGAGUACGGGUCCAACCUUGGCUCAUUGGCGCGGGUGGGGUUUCCUCUGCUGUCCCUCCUUCUCUGCCAACCUCUUCCUCACCAGUGGCUGUGGGGGCGGACUACGGUGGCGUGGUUAGCGAGCCAGCUGACAAUACGCCUGCUCUGCGCUGGGGCUCCAACAGUGGGGGCAGGCAACCGAAGAAGACGGCGGGGAGGAAACCGGCGAACAAGCAGGCGAUGGUGGUGGCGCAGGCGGAGAGCUCUGACCUUGGUGGUGAGUUGGGCGCAGCGCUGGGGACGACGGGGACUAUCAACAAGGCCAGGCGCACCAAGGCGAUCCCGGUGGUGCAGCGCGCCCCGAGCGUUCGGGCCAAGGCCAAGCUCGGCGACCUCUCCUCCUUGGAAAGCGCCAAACUUCGCACCGCUGACAAGAACAUGGACGCCGCAGGUAACCCCUUGCCCUCUUUUCGCAUUCUUAAUGCCUUCUCGGAUGAGCAACUAGUGAGCAUUCUAGAUGACUGCGGGGUGGAGACUCGUGGGGCGCAGUCCGAGAUCGUUUCUCUUGUGCGCGCUAGGGAAGAGGCGCAGGCUGCGCUGGCGGCCUCUGCUGUGCGCUGUGCUAACAACAGCGAGUUAGCCAUUGUGCCAGUAGAGGCUGUUGCUGAGAGAGUGCCCGACGAGGUGUCACUAGCUAGGGAUGCUGGUGUCCUUCCUUCUAAUGGCCGAGCGACGGCUAGGAAGAGAGUGGCGAAGGCGGUGACCUCUAGAGGUGUGCGCCUACGUAACAGGGUGAUUUAGAUGCGUUACAUGUUCUGGAAUAUCCGUGGUUGUGGCCAUGGUGGUCGACGCACGCAGCUCAGAGAAUUCAUUGUCAAAGAACAUAUAGACGUGGUUGCGUUACAAGAGACGAUUAAAUCUGAUUUUACCUUCAGGGAUUUGCUUGCUUUUGAUCCUCUUCAACGUUUUGAGUGGCAGUGGGUUCCCUCUGUCGGUCACUCUGGUGGCAUUCUCUUGUGUUGUAAUAAAGAUGUUUGUGAUGUUUUGCAUUGGGAUGUUGGUGUGUUCCUUUUAUCUGCUACUAUUAAGCACCGUGUUUCUGGCCUGUCGUGGGUGGUCGUGUGUGUCUACGGGCCGGCUGACCACUCCAGAUCGCCAGCGUUCCUACUAGAACUUACCACCCUGGUCGGGGCCAAAAGGGAUAUCAACCUCCCUGUGGUGGUAGGGGGAGACUUUAACUUAAUUCGCUCGGGGGCAGAUAAGAAUAAUGGCCGUAUUGACUGGACAAGGGUGUCCUUAUUCAAUAAUGCCAUUGCGGCAGCAGCAUUGCGGGAGGCCGCACGGACUGGUACCAGAUAUACCUGGACUAACAAGCAAAUGCAGCCGGUCCGUAGCGUGUUAGAUAGGGUUUUUUUACUCCGGAAUGGGAGGUCUUGUUCCCCAUGUGCUCCCUCGUGGCGGAGACGCGUAUCGGAUCAGACCACGUCUCGCUAAUUUUCUCCUCAGGGGAGGAGCUCAUUCGCCGUAGCCCUCGGUUCUACUUCGAAACGGCGUGGUUUGAAGCAGAGGGAUUUUCCCAGAUGGUGGUCGAGCGCUGGGGCGUGAUUUGUGCUCAUCUGGGACCUCAACGCGGUCCAGCAGAGGGCUGGGUCGCGGCUGCUAGCAAGCUGCGCGCCUACCUGCGCGGGUGGGGCGCUAAUCAUGGUAGCGAGUCCAAGAAAGAGCGCGCGCGCAUAGUUGAGGCGAUCUCGCUGUUAGAUUUGGAGGCUGAUCGCCGACCUUUCUCGGAGGCCGAGUGGGCGCAUAGGUACGCUUUAGAGGAUCAAGUGACAGCGAUUUUACGCGCGGAAGAGGAAUAUUGGCGACGCAGGGGCGGAGUCAAAUGGGUCACGAAAGGAGACGCAAACACUGGAUAUUUCCACGCCUACGUGAACGGGCGGAAAAGGAAAUGCACCAUCCUGCGUCUCCAAACAGAACAGGGUGUUCUGUUGGCGCAGGACCAAAUCGUGGCCCAUAUCUACGAGUUUUUCAUAGGCCUUUUGGGGACGGUCGCUGAAAAACCAUUACGCCUUCGCGGUGAUUUGUGGGAUACCGCGGAGCGGGUCUCGCAGGAAGAGAACGAUAGGUUAGCCCUUACAUUCCUUCCUGAGGAAAUAGACCAGGCCUUACACGGCAUGAAAACGAGCACGGCGCCUGGGCCGGACGGUUGGCCGGUGGAGUUCUUUAAGACAUUUUGGCCCUGCCUUAAGCACUUGUUUUACGAUAUUGUCAAUGGCUUCGCCUUAGGCACGGUGGAUCUCUCCCGGCUGAACUAUGGAGCCAUUUGCCUUAUUCCUAAGGUCAAAGGGGCGGACAAUAUCAAACUUUUUAGACCCAUUACCUUUAUCAACGUCCCGUUCAAAAUUUGUGCGAAAGUGUAUGCAUCGCGCUUGGCUCCGGCCGCUCAACGAGUGAUUAGCUCUAGUCAAACGGGUUUCCUCAAACACCGUAACAUUCUCGAGGGACCAAUUGCGUUACAAGAGAUCGGUUCACGAGUUGAAAAGGACCAAGGCACAGGGAGUGCUUCUCAAAUUAGAUUUCGAGAAAGCGUACGAUCGCGUGAACUGGGAGUUCGUGCGAGAAGUCCUCCUCAAAAAGGGGUUUGAGGCAGGAUUCGUACAUUGUAUCAUGCACCUCGUGUGUAGUGGGCACACGGCGGUCACUAUCAACGGCACAAUGGGCAAGUUCUUUCGUAACAAGCGUGGUCUCCGUCAGGGAGACCCAAGUUCCCCGCUUAUCUUCAACUUUGUUGCGGAUGCCUUGGCGGCCAUGAUUAAUAAAGCAAGGGCAGCGGGUCACAUCAAAGGGCUCGUUGCGCAUCUGAUUCCGGGUGGGGUCACGCAUUUGCAAUACGCUGACGACACGAUGCUCUUACUCGAACCCGAUGACCACAGCUUAGCAACUACCAAGCUACUCUUGCUUGCGUUCGAGAUCUUAUCAGGGCUUAAGAUCAACUUUCUGAAAAGCGAAGUGAUCACCAUUGGGAUGGAUGAUCUAGCUAGCUCGCGGGUUGCGAAUCUCCUUAAUUGCAAGCUAGGGAGCUUUCCAAUUAAAUACUUGGGCCUCCCAAUUUCGACCAAGAAACCUACCAUAGCGGAAUGGGAACCGCUUUAUGGGAAGGUCGCUAACCGAGUGAGCCCUUCGAGGGGUAGGUUUAUGUCCUCGGCGGCGAGGCUAAUCCUAACCAACUCGAGCUUAUCUUCCCUCCCUAUUUUCACUAUGGGGAUGUUCCUACUAGCGGAUGGGGUUCACACAAGACUCGAUACCCCUCGCUCCCGGUUCUUUUGGGAAGGAGCCGGGACCAAGCGCAAGUAUCACUUAGUAAAAUGGGCAGCAGCGUGUAGGCCAAAAAAAUUUGGCGGCCUAGGUAUCACGAAUUCUAAACUCAUGAACGUGGCGUUCCUAACUAAGUGGUGGUGGCGUCUUGCCCAAAACGAGUCGGGGCUCUGGGAAGACAUCCUUCGAGCCAAAUAUUUCCCGGAGGGGAAUCUGUUCAAGGCUAAAACCAACGGUUCGGCCUUUUGGAACGGGAUCCAAGCGGUACGACCGGCGUUUUCAGUUGGUGCACAGUUCCGGGUAAACAACGGCAAGUCCACACGGUUCUGGCUCGACCACUGGUGGGGUCAGGAGCCGUUAUGGCAAUCCCAUCCGGAAUUGUACCAACUGGCAACGGACACUAACAUUUUCGUGGCCGAUGCUUUAUGCGUCCACCCUCCAGCCAUUUCGUUCAUCAGAAAUCUAGAGCCCAGGGAGGCUGCAAGCUGGGACGCUUUGACGGUCGACUUGGGUGGUCUGAACCGUAGCACUGGGGCGGACACGAUAUCGUGGAAGUUGACCGCUUCUAAGCAAUUUUCGGUCAAGUCCUUAUAUGACAUGCUAUCUUCGGGACCUACAUUAGAUAUAGCUAGGGGGCUAUGGAAGGCUGCCAUUCCUCUCAAAAUCAAGAUCUUAUUUUGGCAAAUGUGUCGCAACCGCUUACCUACGUCGGACAACGUUGCCAAACGAAAUGGGCCAGCGAACGGCACAUGCACCACCUGCGGUUUAGGGGAAAACGCGAACCACGUCUUCUUUGGUUGUGUGCUUGCUAGAUUUGCGUGGAGUGCAGUGAGAGACGCAUUCAAUCAAAAUUGGAACCCUCAGUCUAGCCACGAAUUGCUGUCUAUCUUAACGGCGCAAAGAGGGGCCAAUGCUAGGAUAGUUUGGAGAUGCGUUGGGGCGCUUCUUUGGUCCCUCUGGACGGUUCGUAACAAAAUUACGGUUGAACACAAAUUCCCGACCCACCCCGCUGAUAUUAUCUUCAAAUGCCAUAUUUUCCUUCAGGUCUGGGCUCCACUGGGGAAGAAGCGUGACAUCGAGCGCAUGGGCCAUGGAGCUGAUCAAGACAUCCAUGAUGAAGGCGCGGCACGGGACGAUGGCUGCCCCAUGAUCCUCCUCGUGCUGCUAGCUCUGGCCUUGAUACUCCGCUUUUGUGUUUCCGAGCUUGUGGUUGUGUGCUACUUAGUUUUAUCUUGAGCCAUGUGCUCGUUGGACUUGUUAUUUUUGGUUUGUAAGACUGUUUGUGUGGAUUCUGCCUGGUGGCUUUAUUAAGUUAAAGCCGGACGCUUCUAGCGUCUAUGUUCAAAAAAAAAUCUUGUAAAUGGGACAUUUUUUUAGAACAAAGAUCCAAUGGUCAUCUUAUAACUGAACAUUAUCAAGGAAAAUGGUGGACAAUAGAUUGCCAAGAUAACAAGACACAAAACGGCCAGCAAAUUUUUUUACAUCAAAAAACAUAUUGGUCAUCUUCUUCCUUCGAUUGUAGGAACACUACUAGGGAAAACCUUAUACACGGAAUCUUAGUAGCAGCGCGGGUCAGGAAGAGGCGCUACUGCUAAUUGGCAGUAGCGCGGGCCAAAUACAGGCGCUACUACUAAUAAAAUUGACCGACAGUUCCCGCCACCCUAGGUUUAGCAGUAGCGCGCCUGUGCUAAGCGCGCUACUGCUAAUAAGAUAGUAGUAGCGUGCUUUUUUUGCAGGUUGCUACUGCUAAUUUUGAAACUGGCCACAUGGCGGGCCCCGCUUAGCAGUAGCGCGUGUUCCAAAAGCUCGCUACUGCUAUCUCAUUACCAGUNNNNNNNNNNNNNNNNNNNNNNNNNNNNNNNNNNNNNNNNNNNNNNNNNNNNNNNNNNNNNNNNNNNNNNNNNNNNNNNNNNNNNNNNNNNNNNNNNNNNNNNNNNNNNNNNNNNNNNNNNNNNNNNNNNNNNNNNNNNNNNNNNNNNNNNNNNNNNNNNNNNNNNNNNNNNNNNNNNNNNNNNNNNNNNNNNNNNNNNNNNNNNNNNNNNNNNNNNNNNNNNNNNNNNNNNNNNNNNNNNNNNNNNNNNNNNNNNNNNNNNNNNNNNNNNNNNNNNNNNNNNNNNNNNNNNNNNNNNNNNNNNNNNNNNNNNNNCCCACGUCGAGGCCCAUGAGAUAGUUGUAAGGCAAGAUUGAACGAUUGGCCUUCUCAAGUCUCCUCGAGAUACUCCCGUGAUUAGCGCGUGCGUGGAUUAGGGAUGCCUCGCUGCCGACCUGCCGUCCUAUGGCCAGCCUCUGCUCUCCCUUCUGUAGAUCUGAUUCAUAAGGUGACACAGGCUGCUUCACGUCACCCACCAAUUCUUCAGACUGCAGCCGCGACCUGGGCAAGGUUAACACACCACACCAUCUACUAAUCUCUUUCAAUUAUCUUCUUGUAUCGUGUUGAACUUCUACAUCAGAUUUUAGUUAUUUUGAUUUUGUGAUUUUGUGAUGUGUCGCCGCGCUAGGGUAUAGGCACUUGUAAUUCUUUGAAAGCUCGGACCCGUCAACGCUUCGUCAAACAUCCGUGGUUGUCGCGUGCCUGCCAACGAUGACGAACCGAUCUACUUCGUCUCCGACCUAGCAGCAGAGGGACGACGAGGGGCUGGGUUUGAUUAUCUAGGUAUGUAUCCCGGCCUCGGUGAUCAAUUUUCGCUAAGAAAACGAUAAAGUUCCCUAAUAGAACCAUGCUGAUUUGCGACUCAAAUAUAUAUAAAUGCAAGAUACAAGCCAACCAUUUGAUUAUACAUGAUUACCAUCGUUCAUAUAUCUUAAUCAUUCAUAUAAAAUCUUUUGUAGCAAGGCAUUUCAUGUCGUAUUUUAGAGUCAUUUGAUGCGUGUGUAGAAUUAUUGAUUAGUAUUAGCUAUCGCUAGAUGCGAUCCAGUUGUAAAAAAAAUGUGUGUCUAGGCAAAGUUAAAUGCAAAUGAGAAUUAAAUAUGCAACUGUUGGAUAGUAUGCGAGGCAUAAAAUAUUUUCUGGCUUCAUUGCCGUUUGGCCCCCCUAUACCUAAAUCCUGGCUCCGCCCUUGCGCCCAGCGCUACUGCUAAGCCGCAGCCAUACCACCUUUCCCUCCCCCCUCCCCCUCCCCCUCCCCCAUCCUCUCUUCCUCACUUUCCCCUAGCUCCCACCUCCUCUCUCCCUCACUUUGCUUCUUCCUCACUACUUCUUCCCCCCAUUACUCUCCUUCUUCUACCUACCUUUCUCUCUCUUUAUUACUCCUAGCUAACUACACCACCUCCAUUAAUGCAUCUCCUUUCUCUUUUUCCUUCCCCCUCCACUAGUUGAACUUGUCUCCUCCCAAACUAGCUAGCUAGGUAGAUGUAGCAUUUAGUGAAGUGACCUAUGUACCCCCUAACUAGAUCUAGCCUUGUCAAGAAGAGCUUUGUCCACUUUUGAUCUCCCUAACUACACAUCAUCAUCUCACCGUGCUCGAUCUCGAGAUAGGUGAUUAAAAUUUUAUGCUUUUGCAAGAAUGAAAAUAUGUAUACGUGUGUGCGAUAUGACAUAAUCGGGCAUAUGAUGGAAAUUGUGUGGGUGGCAUGAAUUGACGCCGAGUUGUGCUUGUGAGUUGCCUAUGUUUUGCUGAAAUGUCGAUUUAUUUCCAUUUUGGCGAAUUCCAGGCAAACUCUAUAUGUCUUAUUUUUAGGGAAGGUCAUGCCAAAUUUUGUAUGACUUUGAUGCAUGCAUGCAUUUUUAUAAUCAAUUUGUUUAUUAUUACCGUGCAGGCGUUCAUGAUGGUCAGUGGAACGAUGGUGGACAUGUGGUUGCGGUCGGCGGUGCAUGACAUGAAAGAAAAGAACCUAAUAGAGGUUCUAUCUCCGUGUCGAAGAUGCAAUGGACGAGUUUGGCUCGACCCCCUAUGACGAUGGUCGUGUCGAAGCGCACCUGCUCAUGACUUGUUUCAUGGAUGGCUAUACUCGGUGGAUAAUUGAAGAUGAGGAUGAUGAUGUGCAGGACGCCGACGGGGCAGGCAAUGACGACACAGGGCAAAACGAAGAGAUGAUCGAUAAUGGCUGCGGAGAAGGGGCCGGACAUCGCGGCGGAGAGAACGUGGACUCCACGCUGCAGAAUUCGUCGGUACUAAGUUCAAUCGUGCGGGAAUGACGACACAGGGCAAGACGAAGAGAUGAUCGAUAAUGGUUGCACAGAAGGGGCCGGACAUGGCGGCGGAGAAGGGGCCGGACAUGGCGGCGGAGAGAACGUGGACUCCUUGCCGCAGAAUUCGUCGGUACUAAGUUCAAUCGUGCGGGACCCUCUUGUUCAAGCACUGCUUCGCAAGGAGACGAGUACUGAGAGAGCUGCUUCUAGAGAGGAGGCCAAGCUGCAGCAACUGGUAGUAGAUUCGAACACUCCAUUGUAUCAUGGUUGCAAUCCUGAGGUGGCCCGCUUGAGUUUCACACUCGAACUCCUGAAGAUGAAGGCUAAAAAUAAAUGGACCGACACUAGCCUCGAUGAGCAUCUCAAGCACCUAAAGAAUGUUCUUCCCGCGGGGAAUCUAUGUCCUACUAGUGUGGAUGAGGCUAAGAAGAUCGUGUGCCCUCUUGAUCUGCCGCACGUUAGAUACCAUGCAUGCAUCAACGAUUGCAUAAUUUAUCUGAAGGAGCACGUGGAAAAAACAAGCUGUCCGUGUUGGGGAACGUAGUAAUUUCAAAAUUUUCGUACGCACACGCAAGAUCAUGGUGAUGCAUAGCAACGAGAGGGGAGAGUGUUGUCUAUGUACCCUCGUAGACCGUAAGCGGAAGCGUUAUAUCAACGUGGUUGAUGUAGUCGUACGUCUUCACGAUCCGACCGAUCCAAGUACCGAAAGCACGGCAUCUCCGAGUUCUGCACACGUUCGGCUCCGUGACGUCCUCGCCUUCUCGAUCCAGCAAGAGGGGCGAAGUAGUAGAUGAGUUCCGGCAGCACGACGGCGUGGUGACGGUGUUGGUGAAGAACAAUCUUCGCAGGGCUUCGCCUAAGCACUACGAAAAUAUGACGGAGGAUAAACUAGAGGGGACGGGGUUGCCGGAACACGGCUUGGUGUUUCUUGAUCUCUCUUGGGUGCUAGCCCUACCCAUCUUAUAUGUUGAGCCUUGGGGUCGAAACUUGGAGUAAAAGCCUCCACAAAGUCGGUUUCACCCGAAAGGCAAGAGUCCUUCUCGGACUCCAGGGCCAGACGCCAGGGUUCCCGGCGUCUGGACCCAGACGCCAGGGACCCUGGCGUCUGGCCCCUUGACUCCGCAAAACUUCCUUUUGCGCUUUCCAAAAACCUCGUGGGCUUUCCCCUUUGGCCCAGAUAAAGUGUUCUCGUGCCCAAACAUUUCGGGAAACAUCCGGAACCCCUUCCGAUGGAUUCCGGAACCUUUCCGGAGAUCAAACACUACUAUCCACAUAUCAAUCUUUACUUCCGGACCAUUCCAGAGUUCCUCGUCAUAUCCGUGAUCUCAUCCAAAACUCCGAACAACAUUCGGUCACCAACAUACAUAACUCAUAGUACUAUAUCGUCAAUGAACGUUAAGCGUGCGGACCCUAAGGGUUCGAGAACUAUGUAGACAUGACCGAGACAGCUCUCUUGUCAAUAACCAAUAGCGGGACCUGGAUGCCCAUAUUGGCUCCUACAUAUUCUAUGAAGAUCUUUGUCGGUCAGACCGCAUAACAACAUACGUUGUUCCCUUUGUCAUCGGUAUGUUACUUGCCCGAGAUUCGAUCGUCUGUAUCUCAAUACCUAGUUCAAUCUCGUUACCGGCAAGUCUCGUUACUCGUUCUGUAAUAUAUCAUCCCGCAACUAACUCAUUAGUUGCAAUGCUUGCAAGGCUUAUAGUGAUGUGAAUUACCGAGUGGGCCCAGAGAUACCUCUCCGACAAUCGGAGUGACAAAUCCUAAUCUUGAAAUACGCCAACCCAACAAGUACCUCCGGAGACACCUGUAGAGCACCUUUAUAAUCACCCAGUUACGUUGUGACGUUUGGUAGCACACAAAGUGUUCCUCCGGUAAAUGGGAGUUGCAUAAUCUCAUAGUCAUAGGAACAUGUAUAAGUCAUGAAGAAAGCAAUAGCAACAUACUAAACGAUCGAGUGCUAAGCUAACGGAAUGGGUCAAGUCAAUCACAUCAUUCUCCUAAUGAUGUGAUCCCGUUAAUCAAAUGACAACUCAUGUCUAUGGCUAGGAAACAUAACCAUCUUUGAUCAACGAGCUAGUCAAGUAGAGGCAUACUAGUGACACUCUGUUUGUCUAUGUAUUCACACAUGUAUUAUGUUUCUGGUUAAUACAAUUCUAGCAUGAAUAAUAAACAUUUAUCAUGAUAUAAAGAAAUAAAUAAUAACUUUAUUAUUGCCUCUAGGGCAUAUUUCCUUGAGUCUCCCACUCGCACUAGAGUCAAUAAUCUAGUUCACAUCACCAUGUGAUUUAACAUCAAUAGUUCACAUCUUUAUGUGGUUAACACUCGUAGUUCACAUCGAUAUGUGACCAACACCCAAAGGGUUUACUAGAGUCAGUAAUCUAGUUCACAUCGCUAUGUGAUUAACACCCAAAGAGUACUAAGGUGUGAUCAUGGUUUGCUUGUGAGAUAAUUUUAGUCAACGGGUCUGUCACAUUCAGAUCCGUAAGUAUUUUGCAAAUUUCUAUGUCUACAAUGCUCUGCACAGAGCUACUCUAGCUAAUUGCUCCCACUUCCAAUAUGUAUCUAGAUUGUGACUUAGAGUCAUCCAGAUCGGUGUCAAAGCUUGCAUCGACGUAACUCUUUACGACGAACUCCUUAUCACCUCCAUAACCGAGAAAUAUAUCCUUAUUCCGCCAAGGAUAAUUUUCACUGCUGUCCAGUGAUCUACUCCUAGAUCACUAUUGUACUCCCUUGCCAAACUUAUGGUGAGGUACACAAUAGGUCUGGUACUCAGCAUAGCAUACUUGAUAGAACCUAUGACUGAGGCAUAGGGAAUGACUCUUCAUUCUCUUCCUAUUUUUCUGCCGUGGUCGGGUUUUGAGUCUUUACUCAACUUCACACCUUGUAACACAGGCAAGAACUCUUUCUUUGGCUGUUCCAUUUUGAACUAUUUCAAAAUCCUGUCAAGGUAUGUACUCAUUGAAAAAAAACUUAUCAAGUGUCUUGAUCUAUCUCUAUAGAUCUUGAUGCUCAACAUGUAAGCAGCUUCACCGAGGUCUUUCUUUGAAAAACUCCUUUCAAACACUCCUUUAUGCUUUGCAGAAUAAUUCUACAUUAUUUCCGAUCAACAAUAUGUCAUUCACAUAUACUUAUCAGAAAUGUUGUAGUGCUCCCACUCACUUUCUUGUAAAUACAGGCUUCACCGCAAGUCUGUAUAAAACUAUAUCCUUUGAUCAAUUUAUCAAAGUGUAUAUUAUAACUCCGAGAUGCUUGCACCAGUCCAUAGAUGGAUCGCUGGAGGUUGCAUAUUUUGUUAGCACCUUUAGGAUUGACAAAACCUUCUCGUUGCAUCAAAUACAACUCUUCUUUAAUAAAUCCAUUAAGGAAUGCAGUUUUGUUUAUCCAUUUGCCAGAUUUCAUGAAAUGCGGCAAUUGCUAACAUGAUUCAGGCAAACUUAAGCAUAGAUACGAGUGAGAAACUCUCAUUGGAGUCAACACCUUGAACUUGUCGAAAACCUUUUGCGACAAUUAUAGCUUUGUAGAUAGUAACACUACUAUCAGCGUCCGUCUUCCUCUUGAAGAUCCAUUUAAUCUCAAUGGCUCGCCGAUCAUUGGGCAAGUCAAUCAAAGUCCAUACUUUGUUCUCAUACAUGGAUCUCAUCUCAGAUUUCAUGGCCUCAAGCCAUUUCACAGAAUCUGGGCUCAUCAUUGCUUCCUCAUAGUUCGUAGGUUUAUCAUGGUCUAGUAACAUGACUUCCAGUACAUGAUUGUUGGAAAUAUGCCCUAGAGGCAAUAAUAAAUUGGUUAUUAUUAUAUUUCCUUGUUCAUGAUAAUCGUUUAUUAUCCAUGCUAAAAUUGUAUUGAUAGGAAACUCAGAUACAUGUGUGGAUACAUAGACAACACCAUGUCCCUAGUAAGCCUCUAGUUGACUAGCUCGUUGAUCAAUAGAUGGUUACGGUUUCCUGACCAUGGACAUUGGAUGUCGUUGAUAACGGGAUCACAUCAUUAGGAGAAUGAUGUGAUGGACAAGACCCAAUCCUAAGCAUAGCAUAAAAGAUCGUGUAGUUUCGUUUGCUAGAGCUUUUCCAAUGUCAAGUAUCUUUUCCUUAGACCAUGAGAUCGUGCAACUCCCGGAUACCGUAGGAGUGCUUUGGGUGUGCCAAACGUCACAACGUAACUAGGUGACUAUAAAGGUGCACUACGGGUAUCUCCGAAAGUGUCUGUUGGGUUGGCACGGAUCGAGANNNNNNNNNNNNNNNNNNNNNNNNNNNNNNNNNNNNNNNNNNNNNNNNNNNNNNNNNNNNNNNNNNNNNNNNNNNNNNNNNNNNNNNNNNNNNNNNNNNNNNNNNNNNNNNNNNNNNNNNNNNNNNNNNNNNNNNNNNNNNNNNNNNNNNNNNNNNNNNNNNNNNNNNNNNNNNNNNNNNNNNNNNNNNNNNNNNNNNNNNNNNNNNNNNNNNNNNNNNNNNNNNNNNNNNNNNNNNNNNNNNNNNNNNNNNNNNNNNNNNNNNNNNNNNNNNNNNNNNNNNNNNNNNNNNNNNNNNNUUGUCACUCCGUGUGACGGAGAGGUAUCUCUGGGCCCACUCGGUAAUGCAUCAUCAUAAUGAGCUCAAUGUGACUAAGGCGUUAGUCACGGGAUCAUGCAUUGCGGUACGAGUAAAGAGACUUGCCGGUAACGAGAUUGAACAAGGUAUUGGGAUACCGACGAUCGAAUCUCGGGCAAGUAACAUACCGAUUGACAAAGGGAAUUGCAUACGGGAUUGAUUGAAUCCUCGACACCGUGGUUCAUCCGAUGAGAUCAUCGUGGAACAUGUGGGAGCCAACAUGGGUAUCCAGAUCCCGCUGUUGGUUAUUGACCGGAGAGGUGUCUCGGUCAUGUCUGCAUGUCUCCCGAACCCGUAGGGUCUACACACUUAAGGUUCGGUGACGCUAGGGUUGUAGAGAUAUAUGUAUGCGGAAACCCGAAAGUUGUUCGGAGUCCCGGAUGAGAUCACGGACAUCUCGAGAGGUUCCGGAAUGGUCCGGAGGUGAAGAAUUAUAUAUAGGAAGUCAAGUUUCGGCCACCGGGAAAGUUUCGGGGGGUUACCGGUAUUGUACCGGGACCACCGGAAGGGUCCCGGGGGUCCACCGGGUGGGGCCACCUAUCCCGGAGGGCCCCGUGGGCUGAAAGUGGAAGGGAACCAGCCCCUAGUGGGCUGGGCGCCCCCCAUGGGCCUCCCCCCAUGCGCCUAGGGUUAGGAACCCUAGGGUGGGGGGACUUCCCCCUUGCCUUGGGGGGCAAGGCACCCCUUUCCACUCCUUGGCCGGCCCCCCUCCCAAGGGGGCCUAUAUAAAGGGGGGGGAGGGAGGGCAGCAACCAACAGCCUUGGGCGCCUCCCUCCUCCCCUGUAACACCUCUCUCUCUCUCUCUCUCGCAGAAGCUUGGCGAAGCCCUGCCGGAGACCCGCUGCAUCCACCACCACGCCGUCGUGCUGCUGGAUCUCCAUCAACCUCUCCUUCCCGCUUGCUGGAUCAAGAAGGAGGAGACGUCGCUGCACCGUACGUGUGUUGAACGCGGAGGUGUCGUCCGUUCGGCACUCGGUCAUCGGUGAUUUGGAUCACGGCGAGUACGACUCCGUCAUCCACGUUCAUUGGAACGCUUCCGCUCGCGAUCUACAAGGGUAUGUAGAUGCACACUCUUCCCCUCGUUGCUAGUAGACUCCAUAGAUGCAUCUUGGUGAGCGUAGAAAAAUUUUAAAUUAUGCUACGAUUCCCAACAGUGGCAUCAUGAGCCAGGCCUAUGCGUAGUUACUAUGCACGAGUAGAACACAAAGAAGUUGUGGGCGUUGAGUUUGCCAAUUCUUCUUGCCGCUACUAGUCUUUUCUUGUUUCGGCGGCAUUGUAGGAUGAAGCGGUCCGGACCGACCUUACACGUACACUUACAUGAGACAGGUUCCACCGACUGACAUGCACUAGAUGCAUAAGGUGGCUAGCGGGUGUCUGUCUCUCCUACUUUAGUCGGAACGGAUUCGAUGAAAAGGGUCCUUAUGAAGGGUAAAUAGAAAUUGGCAAAUCACGUUGUGGUCAUACGUAGGUAAGAAACGUUCUUGCUACAAACCUACAAACCACGUAAAAAAACUUGCAAGAACAAUUAGAGGACGUCUAACUUGUUUUUACAGUGAGUGCUAUGUGAUGUGAUAUGGCCAGAAGAUGUGAUGAAUGAUAUAUGUGAUGUAUGAGAUUGAUCAUAUUCUUGUAUAGGAAUCACGACUUGCAUGUCGAUGAAGUAUGACAACCGGCAGGAGCCAUAGGAGUUGUCUUUAUUAUUUUGCAUCACCUGCGUGUCAUUGAAUAACGCCAUGUAAAUUACUUUACUUUGUUGCUAAACGCGUUAGCCAUAGAAGUAGAAGUAAUCGUUGGCGUGACGACUUCAUGAAGAGACAAUGAUGGAGAUCAUGAUGAUGGAGAUCAUGAUGAUGGAGAUCAUGGUGUCAUGCCGGUGACGAAGAUGAUCAUGGUGCCCCGAAGAUGGAGAUCAAAGGAGCAUGAUGAUAUUGGCCAUAUCAUGUCACUAUUUGAUUGCAUGUGAUGUUUAUCAUGUUUUUGCAUCUUAUUUGCUUAGAACGACGGUAGUAAGUAAGAUGAUCCCUUAUAAUAAUUUCAAGAAAGUGUUCACCCUAACUGUGCACCGUUGCGAAGGUUCGUUGUUUUGAAGCACCACGUGAUGAUCGGGUGUGAUAGAUUCUAACGUUCGAAUACAACGGGUGUUGACGAGCCUAGCAUGUACAGACAUGGCCUCGAAACACACGCAACACACUUAGGUUGACUUGACGAGCCUGGCAUGUACAGACAUGGCCUCGGAACACGGAGGACCGAAAGGUCGAGCAUGAGUCGUAUGGAAGAUACGAUCAACAUGGAGAUGUCGAUCUUGACUAGUCCGUCUCACGUGAUGAUCGGACACGGCCUAGUUAAACUCGGAUCAUGUUUCACUUAGAUGACUAGAGGGAUGUCUAUCUGAGUGGGAGUUCAUAAUCAGAUGAACUUCAUUAUCAUGAACAUAGUCAAAAAGGUAUUUGCAAAUUAUGUCAUAACUUGUGCUUUAGUUCUACUGGUUAAGAUAUGUUCCUAGAGAAAAUUUAGUUGAAAGUUGGUAGUAGCAAUUAUGCGGACUGGGUCCGUAAACUGAGGAUUGUCCUCAUUGCUGCACAGAAGGCUUAUGUCCUUAAUGCACCGCUCGGUGUGCUGAACCUCAGCGUCGUCUGUAGAUGUUACGAAACAUCUGACAUACACAUUUUGAUGACUACGUGAUAGUUCAGUGCGGUUUAGAAUUGUGGCACCAAAGACUUUUUUGAAACGUCGCAGAACAUGUGAGAUGUUCCAAAGACUGAAAUUGGGAUUUCAGACUAGUGCCCACGUCAAGAGGUAUGAGACCUCUGACAAGUUUCUUAAGCCUGCAAACUAAGGGAGAAAAGCUCAAUCGUUGAGCAUGUGCUCAGAUUGUCUGAGUGCCACAAUCGCUCGAAUCGAGUGGGAGUUAAUCUCCCAGAUGAGAUAGUGAUAGUUCUCCAUAGUCACUGCCACCAAGCUAGUAGAGCUUCGUGAUGAACUAUAACAUAUCAAGGAUAGUUAUGAUGAUCCUUGAGCUAUUCGCGAUGUUUGACACCGCGAGAGUAGAAAUCAAGAAGGAGCAUCAAUUGUUGAUGGUUAGUAAAACCACUAGUUUAAGAAGGGCAAGGGCAAAAGGGAUACUUCAUGAAACAACAAGUCGUUUGCUGCUCUAGUGAAGAAUCCCAAGGUUGAACCCAAACCCGAGACUAAGUGCUUCUGUAAUGAGAGGAACGGUCACUGAAGCAGUACUACCCUAGAUACUUGGUAGAUGAGAAGGCAGGCAAGGUCGACAGAAGUAUAUUGGAUAUACGUUAUAUGAAUGUGUACUUUACUAGUACUCCUAGCAGCACCAGGGUAUUAGAUACCGGUUCGGUUGCUAAGUGUUAGUAACUCGAAAUAAAAGCUGCGGAAUAAACAGAGACUAGCUAAAGGUGAGAUGACGAUAUGUGUUGGAAGUGUUUCCAAGGUUGAUGUGAUCAAGCAUCGCAUGCUCCCUCUACCAUCGAGAUUGGGGUUAAACCUGAAUAAUUGUUAUUUGGUGUUUGCGUUGAGCAUAGACAUGAUUGGAUUAUGUUUAUCGCAAUACGGUUAUUCAUUAAAGGAGAAUAAUUGUACUCUGUCUAUUUGAAUAAUACCUUCCAUGGUCUUGCACCUAAAAUGAAUGGUUUAUUGAAUCUCGAUCGUAGUGAUACACAUGUUCAUGCCAAAAGAUAUAAAAUAGUAAUGAUAGUACCACAUACUUGUGGCACUGCCAUUUGAGUCAUAUUGGUAUAAAACGCAUGAAGAAGCUCCAUGUUGAUGGAUCUUUGGACUCACUCGUUUUUGAAAAGAUUGAGACAUGCGAACCAUGUCUAUUGGUAUAUAUGCAUGAAGAAACUCCAUGCAGAUGGAUCGUUUGGACUCACUUGAUUAUGAAUCACUUGAGACAUGCAGACAAUACCACAUGGGCAAGAUGACUGAAAGUCCUCGUUUUCAGUAAGAUGGAACAAGAGAGCAACUUAUUGGAAGUAAUACAUUUUGAUGUACGCAGUCCAAUGAGUGCUGAGGCAUGCAGUGGAUAUCGUUAUGUUCUUACUUCACAGAUGAUUUGAGUAGAUGCUGAGUGUAUUUACUUGAUGAAACACUAGUCUGAAUUAUUGAAAGGUUCAAGUAAUUUCAGAGUGAAGUUGAAGAUCGUCGUGACAAGAGGAUAAAAUGUCUGUGAUAUGAUCAUAGAGAUGAGUAUCUGAGAUACGAGUUUGGCACACAAUUGAGACAUUGUGGAAAGUGUUUCACAAUUAAUACCGCCUGGAACACCAUAGUGUGAUGGUGUGUCCGAACAUCAUAACUGCACCCUAUUGGAUAUGGUGCAUACCAUGAUGUUUCUUAUCGAAUUACCACUAUCGUUUAUGGGUUAGGCAUUAGAGACAACCACAUUCACUUUAAAAGGGGCACCACGCAAUUCCGUUGAGACGACACCAUUUAGAGAAACCUAAGUUGUCGUUUCUUAAAAGUUUGGGGCUGCGAUGCUUAUGUGAAAAAGUUUCAGGCUGAUAAGCUCGAACCCAAAGCGGAUAAAUGCAUCUUCAUAGAAUACCCAAAACAGUUGGCUAUACCUCCUUUUUCAGAUCUGGAAGCAAAAGUAAUUGCUUCUAAAAACGAGUCCUUUCUCGAGGAAAAGUUUCUCUCGAAAGAAUUGAGUGGGAGGAUGGUGGAGACUUGAUAAGGUUAUUGAACCGUCGCUUCAACUAGUGUGUAGCAGGGCACAGGAGGUUGUUCCUGUGGCACCUACACCAAUUGAAGUGGAAGCUUAUGAUAGUGAUCAUGAAACUUCGGAUCAAGUCACUUCCAAACCUCGUAGGACGACGAGGAUGCGCACUACUUCAGAGUAAUGCGUGAUCCUGUCUUGGAAGUCAUGUUGCUAGACAACAAUGAACCUACGAGCUAUGGAGAAGCGAUGGUGGGCCCAUAUUCCGACGAAUGGCUCGAGGCCAUGAAAUCCGAGAUAGAAUCCAUGUAUCAGAACAAAGCAUGGACUUUGGUGAACUUUCCCGAUGAUCGGCAAGCCAUUGAGAUAAAUGGAUCUUUAAGAAGAAGACGGACAUGGACGUUAAUGUUACCGUCUAUGAAGCUCGACUUGUGGCAAAGAGUAUUUUCACAAGUUCAAGGAGUUGACUACGAUGAGUUUUUCUCAUCCGUAGCGAUGCUUAGGUCCGUCGGAAUCAUGUUAGCAUUGGCUGCAUUUAUGAAAUCUGGCAGAUGGAUGUCAAAACAAGUUUCCUUACCAGUUUUCGUAAGGAAAGGUUGUAUGUGAUACAAUCAGAAAGGUUUUGUCGAUCCUAAGGAUGCUAAAAGGUAUGCUAGCUCCAGCGAUCCUUCCAUGGAUUAGAGCAAGCAUCUCGGAGUCAGAAUAUACGCUUUGAUGGAGUGAUCAAAGUUUUUGGGUUUAUGCAAAGUUUGUUAGAAACUUGUAUUUACAAUAAAGUGAGUGGGAGCGCUACAACAUUUCUGAUAAGUAUAUGUGAAUGACAUAUUGUUGAUCCGAAAUGAUGUAAAAUUUCUGGAAAGCAUAAAGGGUUGUUUGAAAGGAGUUUUUCAAAGGAAGACCUGGAUAAAGCUGCUUACAUAUUGGGCAUCAAGAUCCAUAGAGAUAGAUCAAGACGCCUGAUGAUACUUUCAAAAGACAGCACACCUUGACAUGAUUUUGAAAGAGUUCAAAAUAGAUCAGCAAAGAAGGAGUUCUUGGCUGUGUUACAAGGUGUGAGCAUUGAGUAAGACUCAAGACCUGACCACAGCAGAAGAGAGAGAAAGGACGAAGGUCGUCCCCUAUGCUUCAGACGUAGGCUCUACAGUAUGCUAUGCUGUGUACCGCACAUGAAGUGUGCCUUGCCAUGAGUUGGUCAAGGGGUACAAUAGUGAUCCGGGAAUGGAUCACAUGACAGUGGUCGAACUUAUCCUUAGUAUCUAGUGGACUAAGGAAUUUUCUCGAUUAUGGAGGUGAAAAGGAGUUCGUCGUAAAGGGUUACGUCGAUGCGAACUUUGACACUAAUCCGGAUGACUCUGAGUAGUAAACCGGAUUCGUAUAGUAGAGCAAUUAUUUGAAAUGGCUCCAAAUAGCGCGUGGUAGCAUCCACAAGAUGACAUAGAUAUUCGUAAAGCACACGGUUCUAAAAGGUUCAGACCCGUUGACUAAUAACCUCUCUCACAAGCAUAACAUUAUCAAACCAGAACACAUUGAGUGUUAAUCACAUAAUGAUGUGAACUAGAUUGUUGACUCUAGUAAACUCUUUAGAUGUUGGUCACAUGGUGAUGUGACCUGUCAGUGUUAAUCACAUGGUGAUGUGAACUAGAUUAUUGACUCUAGUGCAAGUGGGAGACUGUUGGAAAUAUGCCCUAGAGGCAAUAAUAAAUUGGUUAUUAUUAUAUUUCCUUGUUCAUGAUAAUCGUUUAUUAUCCAUGCUAAAAUUGUAUUGAUAGGAAACUCAGAUACAUGUGUGGAUACAUAGACAACACCAUGUCCCUAGUAAGCCUCUAGUUGACUAGCUCGUUGAUCAAUAGAUGGUUACGGUUUCCUGACCAUGGACAUUGGAUGUCGUUGAUAACGGGAUCACAUCAUUAGGAGAAUGAUGUGAUGGACAAGACCCAAUCCUAAGCAUAGCAUAAAAGAUCGUGUAGUUUCGUUUGCUAGAGCUUUUCCAAUGUCAAGUAUCUUUGCCUUAGACCAUGAGAUCGUGCAACUCCCGGAUACCGUAGGAGUGCCUUGGGUGUGCCAAACGUCACAACGUAACUGGGUGACUAUAAAGGUGCACUACGGGUAUCUCCGAAAGUGUCUGUUGGGUUGGCACGGAUCGAGACUGGGAUUUGUCACUCCGUGUAACGGAGAGGUAUCUCUGGGCCCACUCGGUAAUGCAUCAUCAUAAUGAGCUCAAUGUGACUAAGGCAUUAGUCAUGGGAUCAUGCAUUGCGGUACGAGUAAAGAGACUUGCCGGUAACGAGAUUGAACAAGGUAUUGGGAUACCGACGAUCGAAUCUCGGGCAAGUAACAUACCGAUUGACAAAGGGAAUUGCAUACGGGAUUGAUUGAAUCCUCGACACCGUGGUUCAUCCGAUGAGAUCAUCGUGGAACAUGUGGGAGCCAACAUGGGUAUCCAGAUCCCGCUGUUGGUUAUUGACCGGAGAGGUGUCUCGGUCAUGUCUGCAUGUCUCCCGAACCCGUAGGGUCUACACACUUAAGGUUCGGUGACGCUAGGGUUGUAGAGAUAUAUGUAUGCGGAAACCCGAAAGUUGUUCGAAGUCCCGGAUGAGAUCCCGGACGUCACGAGAGGUUCCGGAAUGGUCCGGAGGUGAAGAAUUAUAUAUAGGAAGUCAAGUUUCGGCCACCGGGAAAGUUUCGGGGGGUUACCGGUAUUGUACCGGGACCACCGGAAGGGUCCCGGGGGUCCACCGGGUGGGGCCACCUAUCCCGGAGGGCCCCGUGGGCUGAAACUGGAAGGGAACCAGCCCCUAGUGGGCUGGGCGCCCCCCAUGGGCCUCCCCCCAUGCGCCUAGGGUUAGGAACCCUAGGGUGGGGGGACUUCCCCCUUGCCUUGGGGGGCAAGGCACCCCUUUCCACUCCUUGGCCGGUCCCCCCUCCCAAGGGGGCCUAUAUAAAGGGGGGGAGGGAGGGCAGCAACCAACAGCCUUGGGCGCCUCCCUCCUCCCCUGCAACACCUCUCUCUCUCGCAGAAGCUUGGCGAAGCCCUGCCGGAGACCCGCUGCAUCCACCACCACGCCGUCGUGCUGCUGGAUCUCCAUCAACCUCUCCUUCCCCCUUGCUGGAUCAAGAAGGAGGAGACGUCGCUGCACCGUACGUGUGUUGAACGCGGAGGUGUCGUCCGUUCGGCACUCGGUCAUCGGUGAUUUGGAUCACGGCGAGUACGACUCCGUCAUCCACGUUCAUUGGAACGCUUCCGCUCGCGAUCUACAAGGGUAUGUAGAUGCACUCUCUUCCCCUCGUUGCUAGUAGACUCCAUAGAUGCAUCUUGGUGAGCGUAGGAAAAUUUUAAAUUAUGCUACGAUUCCCAACAGUGGCAUCAUGAGCCAGGCCUAUGCGUAGUUACUAUGCACGAGUAGAACACAAAGAAGUUGUGGGCGUUGAGUUUGCCAAUUCUUCUUGCCGCUACUAGUCUUUUCUUGUUUCGGCGGCAUUGUAGGAUGAAGCGGCCCGGACCGACCUUACACGUACACUUACGUGAGACAGGUUCCACCGACUGACAUGCACUAGAUGCAUAAGGUGGCUAGCGGGUGUCUGUCUCUCCUACUUUAGUCGGAACGGAUUCGAUGAAAAGGGUCCUUAUGAAGGGUAAAUAGAAAUUGGCAAAUCACGUUGUGGUCAUACGUAGGUAAGAAACGUUCUUGCUAGAAACCUACAAACCACGUAAAAAAACUUGCAAGAACAAUUAGAGGACGUCUAACUUGUUUUUGCAGUGAGUGCUAUGUGAUGUGAUAUGGCCAGAAGAUGUGAUGAAUGAUAUAUGUGAUGUAUGAGAUUGAUCAUAUUCUUGUAUAGGAAUCACGACUUGCAUGUCGAUGAAGUAUGACAACCGGCAGGAGCCAUAGGAGUUGUCUUUAUUAUUUUGCAUCACCUGCGUGUCAUUGAAUAACGCCAUGUAAAUUACUUUACUUUGUUGCUAAACGCGUUAGCCAUAGAAGUAGAAGUAAUCGUUGGCGUGACGACUUCAUGAAGAGACAAUGAUGGAGAUCAUGAUGAUGGAGAUCAUGAUGAUGGAGAUCAUGGUGUCAUGCCGGUGACGAAGAUGAUCAUGGUGCCCCGAAGAUGGAGAUCAAAGGAGCAUGAUGAUAUUGGCCAUAUCAUGUCACUAUUUGAUUGCAUGUGAUGUUUAUCAUGUUUUUGCAUCUUAUUUGCUUAGAACGACGGUAGUAAGUAAGAUGAUCCCUUAUAAUAAUUUCAAGAAAGUGUUCACCCUAACUGUGCACCGUUGCGAAGGUUCGUUGUUUUGAAGCACCACGUGAUGAUCGGGUGUGAUAGAUUCUAACGUUCGAAUACAACGGGUGUUGACGAGCCUAGCAUGUACAGACAUGGCCUCGAAACACACGCAAUACACUUAGGUUGACUUGACGAGCCUGGCAUGUACAGACAUGGCCUCGGAACACGGAGGACCGAAAGGUCGAGCAUGAGUCGUAUGGAAGAUACGAUCAACAUGGAGAUGUCGAUCUUGACUAGUCCGUCUCACGUGAUGAUCGGACACGGCCUAGUUAAAAUCGGAUCAUGUUUCACUUAGAUGACUAGAGGGAUGUCUAUCUGAGUGGGAGUUCAUAAUCAGAUGAACUUCAUUAUCAUGAACAUAGUCAAAAAGGUAUUUGCAAAUUAUGUCAUAACUUGCGCUUUAGUUCUACUGGUUAAGAUAUGUUCCUAGAGAAAAUUUAGUUGAAAGUUGGUAGUAGCAAUUAUGCGGACUGGGUCCGUAAACUGAGGAUUGUCCUCAUUGCUGCACAGAAGGCUUAUGUCCUUAAUGCACCGCUCGGUGUGCUGAACCUCAGCGUCGUCUGUAGAUGUUACGAAACAUCUGACAUACACAUUUUGAUGACUACGUGAUAGUUCAGUGCGGUUUAGAAUUGUGGCACCAAAGACUUUUUUGAAACGUCGCAGAACAUGUGAGAUGUUCCGAAGACUGAAAUUGGGAUUUCAGACUAGUGCCCACGUCAAGAGGUAUGAGACCUCUGACAAGUUUCUUAAGCCUGCAAACUAAGGGAGAAAAGCUCAAUCGUUGAGCAUGUGCUCAGAUUGUCUGAGUGCCACAAUCGCUCGAAUCGAGUGGGAGUUAAUCUCCCAGAUGAGAUAGUGAUAGUUCUCCAUAGUCACUGCCACCAAGCUAGUAGAGCUUCGUGAUGAACUAUAACAUAUCAAGGAUAGUUAUGAUGAUCCUUGAGCUAUUCGCGAUGUUUGACACCGCGAGAGUAGAAAUCAAGAAGGAGCAUCAAUUGUUGAUGGUUAGUAAAACCACUAGUUUAAGAAGGGCAAGGGCAAAAGGGAUACUUCAUGAAACAACAAGUCGUUUGCUGCUCUAGUGAAGAAUCCCAAGGUUGAACCCAAACCCGAGACUAAGUGCUUCUGUAAUGAGAGGAACGGUCACUGAAGCAGUACUACCCUAGAUACUUGGUAGAUGAGAAGGCAGGCAAGGUCGACAGAAGUAUAUUGGAUAUACGUUAUAUGAAUGUGUACUUUACUAGUACUCCUAGCAGCACCAGGGUAUUAGAUACCGGUUCGGUUGCUAAGUGUUAGUAACUCGAAAUAAAAGCUGCGGAAUAAACAGAGACUAGCUAAAGGUGAGAUGACGAUAUGUGUUGGAAGUGUUUCCAAGGUUGAUGUGAUCAAGCAUCGCAUGCUCCCUCUACCAUCGAGAUUGGGGUUAAACCUGAAUAAUUGUUAUUUGGUGUUUGCGUUGAGCAUAGACAUGAUUGGAUUAUGUUUAUCGCAAUACGGUUAUUCAUUAAAGGAGAAUAAUUGUACUCUGUCUAUUUGAAUAAUACCUUCCAUGGUCUUGCACCUAAAAUGAAUGGUUUAUUGAAUCUCGAUCGUAGUGAUACACAUGUUCAUGCCAAAAGAUAUAAAAUAGUAAUGAUAGUACCACAUACUUGUGGCACUGCCAUUUGAGUCAUAUUGGUAUAAAACGCAUGAAGAAGCUCCAUGUUGAUGGAUCUUUGGACUCACUCGUUUUUGAAAAGAUUGAGACAUGCGAACCAUGUCUAUUGGUAUAUAUGCAUGAAGAAACUCCAUGCAGAUGGAUCGUUUGGACUCACUUGAUUAUGAAUCACUUGAGACAUGCAGACAAUACCACAUGGGCAAGAUGACUGAAAGUCCUCGUUUUCAGUAAGAUGGAACAAGAGAGCAACUUAUUGGAAGUAAUACAUUUUGAUGUACGCAGUCCAAUGAGUGCUGAGGCAUGCAGUGGAUAUCGUUAUGUUCUUACUUCACAGAUGAUUUGAGUAGAUGCUGAGUGUAUUUACUUGAUGAAACACUAGUCUGAAUUAUUGAAAGGUUCAAGUAAUUUCAGAGUGAAGUUGAAGAUCGUCGUGACAAGAGGAUAAAAUGUCUGUGAUAUGAUCAUAGAGAUGAGUAUCUGAGAUACGAGUUUGGCACACAAUUGAGACAUUGUGGAAAGUGUUUCACAAUUAAUACCGCCUGGAACACCAUAGUGUGAUGGUGUGUCCGAACAUCAUAACUACACCCUAUUGGAUAUGGUGCAUACCAUGAUGUUUCUUAUCGAAUUACCACUAUCGUUUAUGGGUUAGGCAUUAGAGACAACCACAUUCACUUUAAAAGGGGCACCACGCAAUUCCGUUGAGACGACACCGUUUAGAGAAACCUAAGUUGUCGUUUCUUAAAAGUUUGGGGCUGCGAUGCUUAUGUGAAAAAGUUUCAGGCUGAUAAGCUCGAACCCAAAGCGGAUAAAUGCAUCUUCAUAGAAUACCCAAAACAGUUGGGUAUACCUCCUUUUUCAGAUCUGGAAGCAAAAGUAAUUGCUUCUAGAAACGAGUCCUUUCUCGAGGAAAAGUUUCUCUCGAAAGAAUUGAGUGGGAGGAUGGUGGAGACUUGAUAAGGUUAUUCGACCGUCGCUUCAACUAGUGUGUAGCAGGGCACAGGAGGUUGUUCCUGUGGCACCUACACCAAUUGAAGUGGAAGCUUAUGAUAGUGAUCAUGAAACUUCGGAUCAAGUCACUUCCAAACCUCGUAGGACGACGAGGAUGCGCACUACUUCAGAGUAAUGUGUGAUCCUGUCUUGGAAGUCAUGUUGCUAGACAACAAUGAACCUACGAGCUAUGGAGAAGCGAUGGUGGGCCCAUAUUCCGACGAAUGGCUCGAGGCCAUGAAAUCCGAGAUAGAAUCCAUGUAUCAGAACAAAGCAUGGACUUUGGUGAACUUUCCCGAUGAUCGGCAAGCCAUUGAGAUAAAUGGAUCUUUAAGAAGAAGACGGACAUGGACGUUAAUGUUACCGUCUAUGAAGCUCGACUUGUGGCAAAGAGUAUUUUCACAAGUUCAAGGAGUUGACUACGAUGAGUUUUUCUCAUCCGUAGCGAUGCUUAGGUCCGUCGGAAUCAUGUUAGCAUUGGCUGCAUUUAUGAAAUCUGGCAGAUGGAUGUCAAAACAAGUUUCCUUACCAGUUUUCGUAAGGAAAGGUUGUAUGUGAUACAAUCAGAAAGGUUUUGUCGAUCCUAAGGAUGCUAAAAGGUAUGCUAGCUCCAGCGAUCCUUCCAUGGAUUAGAGCAAGCAUCUCGGAGUCAGAAUAUACGCUUUGAUGGAGUGAUCAAAGUUUUUGGGUUUAUGCAAAGUUUGUUAGAAACUUGUAUUUACAAUAAAGUGAGUGGGAGCGCUACAACAUUUCUGAUAAGUAUAUGUGAAUGACAUAUUGUUGAUCCGAAAUGAUGUAAAAUUUCUGGAAAGCAUAAAGGGUUGUUUGAAAGGAGUUUUUCAAAGGAAGACCUGGAUAAAGCUGCUUACAUAUUGGGCAUCAAGAUCCAUAGAGAUAGAUCAAGACGCCUGAUGAUACUUUCAAAAGACAGCACACCUUGACAUGAUUUUGAAAGAGUUCAAAAUAGAUCAGCAAAGAAGGAGUUCUUGGCUGUGUUACAAGGUGUGAGCAUUGAGUAAGACUCAAGACCUGACCACAGCAGAAGAGAGAGAAAGGACGAAGGUCGUCCCCUAUGCUUCAGACGUAGGCUCUACAGUAUGCUAUGCUGUGUACCGCACAUGAAGUGUGCCUUGCCAUGAGUUGGUCAAGGGGUACAAUAGUGAUCCGGGAAUGGAUCACAUGACAGCGGUCAAACUUAUCCUUAGUAUCUAGUGGACUAAGGAAUUUUCUCGAUUAUGGAGGUGAAAAGGAGUUCGUCGUAAAGGGUUACGUCGAUGCGAACUUUGACACUAAUCCGGAUGACUCUGAGUAGUAAACCGGAUUCGUAUAGUAGAGCUAUUAUUUGAAAUGGCUCCAAAUAGCGCGUGGUAGCAUCCACAAGAUGACAUAGAUAUUCGUAAAGCACACGGUUCUAAAAGGUUCAGACCCGUUGACUAAUAACCUCUCUCACAAGCAUAACAUUAUCAAACCAGAACACAUUGAGUGUUAAUCACAUAAUGAUGUGAACUAGAUUGUUGACUCUAGUAAACUCUUUAGAUGUUGGUCACAUGGUGAUGUGACCUGUCAGUGUUAAUCACAUGGUGAUGUGAACUAGAUUAUUGACUCUAGUGCAAGUGGGAGACUGUUGGAAAUAUGCCCUAGAGGCAAUAAUAAAUUGGUUAUUAUUAUAUUUCCUUGUUUAUGAUAAUCGUUUAUUAUCCAUGCUAAAAUUGUAUUGAUAGGAAACUCAGAUACAUGUGUGGAUACAUAGACAACACCAUGUCCCUAGUAAGCCUCUAGUUGACUAGCUCGUUGAUCAAUAGAUGGUUACGGUUUCCUGACCAUGGACAUUGGAUGUCGUUGAUAACGGGAUCACAUCAUUAGGAGAAUGAUGUGAUGGACAAGACCCAAUCCUAAGCAUAGCAUAAAAGAUCGUGUAGUUUCGUUUGCUAGAGCUUUUCCAAUGUCAAGUAUCUUUUCCUUAGACCAUGAGAUCGUGCAACUCCCGGAUACCGUAGGAGUGCCUUGGGUGUGCCAAACGUCACAACGUAACUGGGUGACUAUAAAGGUGCACUACGGGUAUCUCCGAAAGUGUCUGUUGGGUUGGCACGGAUCGAGACUGGGAUUUGUCACUCCGUGUGACGGAGAGGUAUCUCUGGGCCCACUCGGUAAUGCAUCAUCAUAAUGAGCUCAAUGUGACUAAGGCAUUAGUCAUGGGAUCAUGCAUUGCGGUACGAGUAAAGAGACUUGCCGGUAACGAGAUUGAACAAGGUAUUGGGAUAAGGACGAUCGAAUCUCGGGCAAGUAACAUACCGAUUGACAAAGGGAAUUGCAUACGGGAUUGAUUGAAUCCUCGACACCGUGGUUCAUCCGAUGAGAUCAUCAUGGAACAUGUGGGAGCCAACAUGGGUAUCCAGAUCCCGCUGUUGGUUAUUGACCGGAGAGGUGUCUCGGUCAUGUCUGCAUGUCUCCCGAACCCGUAGGGUCUACACACUUAAGGUUCGGUGACGCUAGGGUUGUAGAGAUAUAUGUAUGCGGAAACCCGAAAGUUGUUCGGAGUCCCGGAUGAGAUCCCGGACGUCACGAGAGGUUCCAGAAUGGUCCGGAGGUGAAGAAUUAUAUAUAGGAAGUCAAGUUUCGGCCACCGGGAAAGUUUCGGGGGGUUACCGGUAUUGUACCGGGACCACCGGAAGGGUCCCGGGGGUCCACCGGGUGGGGCCACCUAUCCCGGAGGGCCCCGUGGGCUGAAACUGGAAGGGAACCAGCCCCUAGUGGGCUGGGCGCCCCCAUGGGCCUCCCCCCAUGCGCCUAGGGUUAGGAACCCUAGGGUGGGGGGACUUCCCCCUUGCCUUGGGGGGCAAGGCACCCCUUUCCACUCCUUGGCCGGUCCCCCCUCCCAAGGGGGCCUAUAUAAAGGGGGGGAGGGAGGGCAGCAACCAACAGCCUUGGGCGCCUCCUUCCUCCCCUGCAACACCUCUCUCUCUCUCGCAGAAGCUUGGCGAAGCCCUGCCGGAGACCCGCUGCAUCCACCACCACGCCGUCGUGCUGCUGGAUCUCCAUCAACCUCUCCUUCCCCCUUGCUGGAUCAAGAAGGAGGAGACGUCGCUGCACCGUACGUGUGUUGAACGCGGAGGUGUCGUCCGUUCGGCACUCGGUCAUCGGUGAUUUGGAUCACGGCGAGUACGACUCCGUCAUCCACGUUCAUUGGAACGCUUCCGCUCGCGAUCUACAAGGGUAUGUAGAUGCACUCUCUUCCCCUUGUUGCUAGUAGACUCCAUAGAUGCAUCUUGGUGAGCGUAGGAAAAUUUUAAAUUAUGCUACGAUUCCCAACAAUGAUUACCGUACCACUCUGGUGCGGAUUGUGCUCUGGUUGAUCUACGAAGUUCUGUAGUAACUUGAUCCGAAGUUUUAUGAUCAUCAUCAUUAACUUCCUCAGUAAUUGGUGUACGCAUCACUGGAACUGAUUUCUGUGUUGAACUAUUCUCCAAUUCGGGAGAAGGUACAAUUACCUCAUCAAGUUUUACUUUCCUCCCACUCACUUCUUUCGAGAGAAACUCCUUCUCUAGAAAGGAUCCAUUCUUAGCAACGAAUGUCUUGCCUUCAGAUCUGUGAUAGAAGGUGUACCCAAAAGUCUCCUUUGGGUAUCCUAUGAAGACACAUUUUUCCGAUUUGGGUUUGAGCUUUAUCAGGAUGAAACUUUUUCAUAUAAGCAUCGUAACCCAAACUUUAAGAAACGACAACUUUGGUUUCUUGCCAAACCACAGUUCAUAUGGUGUCGUCUCAAACGAAUUUAGAUGGUGCCCCUUUUUUACGUGAAUGCAGCUGUCUCUAAUGCAUAACCCCAAAACUAUAGUGGUAAAUCGGUAAGAAACAUCAUAGAUUGCACUAUAUCCAAUAAAGUACGGUUAUGACGUUCGGACACACCAUUAUGCUGUGGUGUUCCAGGUGGCACGAAUUUGUGAAACUAUUCCACAUUGUUUUAAUUGAAGACCAAACUCAUAACUCAAAUAUUUGUCUCCGCGAUCAGAUCGUAGAAACCUUAUUUUCUUGUCACGAUGAUUUUCCACUUCACUCUGAAAUUCUUUGAACUUUUCAAAUAUUUCAGACUUAUGUUUCAUCAAGUAGAUACACCCAUAUCUGCUCAAAUCCUCUGUGAAGAUCAGAAAAUAACGAUACCCGCCGCGAGCCUCAACACUCAUCGGAUCGCAUACAUCAGUGUGUAUUAUUUCCAAUAAGUUAGUUGCUCGCUCCAUUGUUCCGGAGAACGGAGUCUUAGUCAUCUUGCCCAUAGCAUGGUUCGCAAGCAUCAAGUGAUUCAUAAUCAAGUGAUUCCAAAAGCCCAUCGGCAUGGAGUUUCUUCAUGCGCUUUACAUCAAUAUAACCAAAACGGCAGUGCCACAAAUAAGUUGCACUAUCAUUAUUAACUUUGCAUCUUUUGGCUUCAAUAUUAUGAAUAUGUGUAUCACUACGAUCGAGAUCCAACAAACCAUUUUCAUUGGGUGUAUGACCAUAGAAGGUUUUAUUCAUGUAAAUAGAACAACAAAUAUUCUCUAACUUAAAUGAAUAACUGUAUUGCAAUAAACAAGAUCAAAUCAUAUUCAUGCUCAACGCAAACACCAAAUAACACUUAUUUAGGUUCAACACUAAUCCCGAAAGUGUAGGGAGCGUGCGAUGAUGAUCAUAUCAAUCUUGGAACCACUUCCAACACACAUGGUCAGUUCACCCUUAACUAGUCUCUGUUCAUUCUGCAACUCCUAUUUCGAGUUACUACUCUUAGUAACUGAACCAGUAUCAAAUACCGAGGGGUUGCUACGAACACUAGUAAAAUACACAUCAAUAAUCUGUAUAUCAAAUAUACCUUUGUUCACUUUGCCAUCCUUCUUAUCCGCCAAAAUACUUGGGGCAGUUCCUCUUCCAGUGACCAGUCCCUUUGCAGUAGAAGCACUUAGUCUCAGGCUUAGGACCAGACUUGGGCUUCUUCACUUGAGCAGCAACUUGCUUGCCGUUCUUCUUGAAGUUCCCCUUCUUCCCUUUGCCGUUUUCUUGAAACUAGUGGUCUCGUCAACCAUCAACACUUGAUGUUUUCUUGAUUUCUACCUUCGUCGAUUUCAGCAUCACGAAGAGCUUGGGAAUUGUUUCCGUUAUCCCUUGCAUAUUAUAGUUCAUCACGAAGUUCUACUAACUUGGUGAUGGUGACUAGAGAAUUCUGCCAAUCACUAUCUUAUCUGGAAGAUCAACUCCCACUUGAUUCAAGCGAUUGUAGUACCCAGACAAUCUGAGCACAUGCUUACUGCUUGAGCUAUUCUCCUCCAUCUUUUAGCUAUAGAACUUGUUGGAGACUUCAUAUCUCUCAACUCGGGUAUUUGCUUGAAAUAUUAACUUCAACUCCUGGAACAUCUCAUAUGGUCCAUGACGUUCAAAACGUCUUUGAAGUCCCGAUUCUAAGCCGUUAAGCAUGGUGCACUAAACUAUCAAGUAGUCAUCAUAUUGAGCUAGCCAAACGUUCAUAACGUCUGCAUCUGCUCCUGCAAUAGGUCUGUCACCUAGCGGUGCAUCAAGGACAUAAUUCUUCUGUGCAGCAAUGAGGAUAAUCCUUAGAUCACGGAUCCAAUCCGCAUCAUUGCUACUAACAUCUUUCAACAUAAUUUUUCUCUAGGAACAUAUCAAAAAUAAACACAGGGAAGCAACAACGCGAGCUAUUGAUCUACAACAUAAUUUGCAAAAUACUAUCAGGACUAAGUUCAUGAUAAAUUUAAGUUCAAUUAAUCAUAUUACUUAAGAACUCCCACUUAGAUAGACAUCCCUCUAAUCCUCUAAGUGAUCACGUGAUCCAUAUCAACUAAACCAUGUCCGAUCAUCACGUGAGACGGAGUAGUUUCAACGGUGAACAUCACUAUGUUGAUCAUAUCUACUAUAUGAUUCACGCUCGACCUUUCGGUCUCCGUGUUCCGAGGCCAUAUCUGCUAUAUGCUAGGCUCGUCAAGCUUAACCUUAGUAUUCCGCGUGUGCAACUGUUUUGCACCCGUUGUAUUUGAACGUAGAGCCUAUCACACCCGAUCAUCACAUGGUGUCUCAGCACGAAGAACUUUCGCAACGGUUCAUACUCAGGGAGAACACUUAUACUUUGAUAAUUUAGUGAGGGAUCAUCUUAUAAUGCUACCGUCAAUCAAAGCAAGAUAAGAUGCAUAAAAGGUAAACAUCAUAAGCAAUCAAUAUAAGUGAUAUGAUAUGGCCAUCAUCAUCUUGUGCUUGUGAUCUCCAUCUCCGAAGCACCGUCAGGAUCACCAUCGUCACCGGCGCGACACCUUGAUCUCCAUCGUAGUAUCGUUGUCGUCUCGCCAACUAUUGCUUCUACGACUAUCGCUACCGCUUAGUGAUAAAGUAAAGCAAUUACAGGGCGAUUGCAUUGCAUACAAUAAAGCGACAACCAUAUGGCUCCUGCCAGUUGCCGAUAACUCGGUUAAAAAACAUGAUCAUCUCAUACAAUAAAAUUUAGCAUCAUGUCUUGACCAUAUCACAUCACAACAUGCCCUGCAAAAACAAGUUAGACGUCCUCUACUUUGUUGUUGCAAGUUUUACGUGGCUACUACGGGCUUAGCAAGAACUGUUCUCACCUAUGCAUCAAAACCACAAUGAUAGUUUGUCAAGUUGGUGUUGUUUUAACCUUCGCAAGGACCGGGCGUAGCCACACUCGGUUCAACUAAAGUUGGAGAAACUGACACCCGCCAGCCACCUCUGUGCAAAGCACGUCGGAAGAACCAGUCUCGCAUAAGCGUACGCGUAAUGUCGGUCCGGGCCGCUUCAUCCAACAAUACCGCCGAACCAAAGUAUGACAUGCUGGUAAGCAGUAUGACUUAUAUCGCCCACAACUCACUUGUGUUCUACUCGUGCAUAUAACAUCAACGCAUAAAACCAGGCUCGGAUGCCACUGUUGGGGAACGUAGUAAUUUCAAAAAUUUCCUACGCACACGCAAGAUCAUGGUGAUGCAUAGCAACGAGAGGGGAGAGUGUUGUCUACGUACCCUCGUAGACCGUAAGCGGAAGCGUUAUAUGAACGCGGUUGAUGUAGUCGUACGUCUUCACGAUCCAAGUACCGAAAGCACGGCACCUCCGAGUUCUGCACACGUUCGGCUCGGAGACGUCCUCGCCUUCUCGAUCCAGCAAGAGGGGCGUAGUAGUAGAUGAGUUCCGGCAACACGACGGCGUGGUGACGGUGUUGGUGAAGAACAAUCUUCGCAGGGCUUCGCCUAAGCACUACGAAAAUAUGACAGAGGAUAAACUAGAGGGGACGGGUUUGCCGGCACACGGCUUGGUGUUUCUUGAUCUCUCUUGGGUGCUAGCCCUACCCCUCUAUUUAUAUGUUGAGCCUUGGGGUCGAAACUUGGAGUAAAAGCCUCCACAAAGUCGGUUUCACCCGAAAGGCAAGAGUCCUUCUCGGACUCCAAGGCUAGACGCCAGGGUUCCCGUCGUCUGGACCCAGAUGCCAGGGACCCUGGCGUCUGGCCCCUGGACUCAAAACUUCCUUUUGCGCUUUCCAAAACCCUCGUGGGCUUUCCCCUUUGGCCCAGAUAAAGUGUUCUCGUGCCCAAACAUUUCGGGAAACAUCCGGAACCCCUUCCGAUGGAUUCCGGAACCUUUCCGGAGGUCAAACACUACUAUCCACAUAUCAAUCUUUACUUCCGGACCAUUCCAGAGUUCCUCGUCAUAUCCGUGAUCUCAUCCAAAACUCCGAACAACAUUCGGUCACCAACAUACAUAACUAAUAGUACUAUAUCGUCAAUGAACGUUAAGCGUGCGGACCCUAAGGGUUCGAGAACUAUGUAGACAUGACCGAGACAACUCUCUUGUCAAUAACCAAUAGCGGGACCUGGAUGCCCAUAUUGGCUCCUACAUAUUCUAUGAAGAUCUUUGUCGGUCAGACCGCAUAACAACAUACGUUGUUCCCUUUGUCAUCGGUAUGUUACUUGCCCGAGAUUCGAUCGUCUGUAUCUCAAUACCUAGUUCAAUCUCGUUACCGGCAAGUCUCUUUACUCGUUCUGUAAUACAUCAUCCCGCAACUAACUCAUUAGUUGCAAUGCUUGCAAGGCUUAUAGUGAUGUGCAUUACCGAGUGGGCCCAGAGAUACGUCCCCGACAAUCGGAGUGACAAAUCCUAAUCUCUAAAUACGCCAACCCAACAAGUACCUUCGGAGACACCUGUAGAGCACCUUUAUAAUCACCCAGUUACGUUGUGACGUUUGGUAGCACACAAAGUGUUCCUCCGGUAAACAGGAGUUGCAUAAUCUCAUAGUCAUUGGAACAUGUAUAAGUCAUGAAGAAAGCAAUAGCAACAUACUAAACGAUCGAGUGCUAAGCUAACGGAAUGGGUCAAGUCAAUCACAUCAUUCUCCUAAUGAUGUGAUCCCGUUAAUCAAAUGACAACUCAUGUCUAUGGCUAGGAAACAUAACCAUCUUUGAUCAACGAGCUAGUCAAGUAGAGGCAUACUAGUGACACUCUGUUUGUCUAUGUAUUCACACAUGUAUUAUGUUUCCGGUUAAUACAAUUCUAGCAUGAAUAAUAAACAUUUAUCAUGAUAUAAGGAAAUAAAUAAUAACUUUAUUAUUGCCUCUAGGGCAUAUUUCCUUCAGUCCGAUGUGCAAUGCUUCUCGAUACAAGAAAGCCGGAAGAAAUCUCCCCAGAAAGUUGUAUGGUACUUACCGAUCACUCCCCGUCUCCAGCGGUAUUUCAUAGAUCCCAAGGAAGCAAAGCUCAUGCGCUGGCACGCGGAGAGGAGGAAGCCCGACGAUGGAGAUGAUCCGAAGCUGAGACACAUCAAGUAUGGAAGCUAGUGGAGAGCGUUCAACGGCGAAUAUCGGUAUUUCGAAUGUGAUGCAAGGAACAUCGUGCUAGGCGCGUGUACCGAUGGCUUGAGUCCGUUUGGCAACCAAAACACCAACCAUAGCACAUGGCCCGUGUUUGUAUGGAUGUACAACCUCCCCCCUGGUUGUGCAUGAAGUUGAAGUACAUACACAUGAACAUGCUGAUUCAAGGGCCGAAACAACUGGGAAAUAAUAUUAAUAUGUAUGUGGGGCUACUUCAAGAGGAGUUAGACACGUUAUGGAAAACACCGGCCAAGACAUGGGACGCCGGCAAAGGCGCGUAUUUCUAUAUGAGAGCCGCGCUGAUCAUGACGGUGCACGACUAUCUCGGUUACGGAUAUGUCGCAGGCCAGGUGUGCCAUGGAUAUUGCGGAUGCACGCGGUGCAUGGAUGAUACAACGUCUCAGCAGCUAACGUCAAGGAAAGAUGGCGGGUCUGGGAAAAUCGUGUACAUGGGGCAUCAAAGAUGGCUCGAGAAGGACGACCCAUGGAGAAACCGUGAGAUCUAUUCAAUGGUGAGGCUGAGCAUUGAGGACCUCCACGUAAGCGGAGCGACGCCGAAAUCGAUGAGCUGUUGAAAAACUGGGAACAGUGCCCUGCGCCGGGAAAGACGAUGAAUAAGGCGCCGGAGCCGCUGCUGAAGGUAUGGAAGACGAGGUCUGUUUUCUGGGACUUGGAGUACUGGCACAAACUCGACACACCUCAUUGCCUUGAUCAAAUGCAUAUAUGUAAGAAUGUCCUUGAGAGGUUGCUUGCGACACUGAUGAACAUGCCGGAUAAGACCAAGGAUGGGCCGAAGGCAAGAAAAGACUUGCAAGAUUUGAAAAUCAGGGAAGAUCUGUACAUGCCGCCCCGUAAAAAGUCAGAGGAGGCAGAGACAGAGACAGAGGCACGGGAGAAGAAGGGAAAAAAGUAAAGGAAGAGGAUUAUUGCCCCCCUUCUUACUUCACCUUAAGUCCGGCUGAGAUCGAUCAAUUCUUCAAGUGCCUUACUGGAGUCAAAGUUAGUUCUGGUUACUGUGGCAAGAUAAGCAGAUAUCUAGACACGCAGAAGAAAAUGUUCAGGGGGAUGAAGUCCCAUGACUGUCAUGUGAUGAUGACACAGAUACUACCUGUUGCCCUUAGAGGGAUAAUGGACAAGCACGCCCGUGACACGCUUAUCGGUCUCUGCAACUUUUCGACGUUAUCUCUCGAAAGUCGAUUAGUGUGAAUCAGCUCCGAAGGCUACAGGAAGAGAUUAUUAUGAUACUAAAUGAGCUUGAGAUGUACUUCCCGCCCGCGUUCUUUGACGUCAUGGUGCACCUGUGUGUCCAUAUUGUGGACGACAUAAUAGACCUGGGGCCAUCAUUCCUGCACAACAUGAUGCCGUUUGAGAGGAUGAAUGGGAUCAUCAAAGGAUUCGUUUGUAACAUGUUCCGUCCGGAUGGAAGCAUCGUCCAGGGCUAUCUGACACAAGAGUGCAUCUCUUUCUGCGAGAAUUUUCUAUAUGGUGCAGACCAGCCACCAGGUGUUGGUUUGCCCGUUAACAAGCACAAUGGGAGGCUCGAAGGAGAAGGUCACUCCAACGGUCGCAGGGAACUGCACGUGGCCUACUCAGAUCGACGCAACGACUUUGACAAAGCAAACUUGGUUGUGCUACAACACCUAGACCAGGUAGAUCCUUUCGCGACACUUCCUUUCGCGGCAUUGCACAAAGAAACUAUCGCAAAGAAGUAUCGUGACCGGGUGGUAUGCAGGACGGACGCCGAAGUUACUAGAGAGCACAACUCCACUUUCCUGCAUUGGUUCAAAGAGCAUAUUAUUGCUAAUCCCCCAGAAGAGGGCUCUAAGGACGAAUUACUCAUAUACGCCUUAGCACAUGGCCCCUCGCCCAACCUCGUCACCUACCAGGAUUACGAUAUCAACGGAUACAAGUUCUACACAGAGGCCAAAGAUAUGGACAGUGAUGAUCAGAACUCAGGGGUGACGAUGGAAUGCAUGACCGGCAGCGAUAACGGCGCAACUGAGAGAUUUUGCGGAAGGGUUGAGGAGAUCUGGGAGCUUGACUACUCUGGACUGCACAACGCGACGAUGUUCCGUGUCAGAUGGGCUAAAAAUGUCGAAAGAGAAAACCGGUAUUUCAGUACCAUGACUAUACCCGACGCCAAGAGCACUAACCGUGAACGCUAUCGCAAAAAAUGAGCCAUGGGUACACGCUAAGCACGUGACACAAUGCUUCUUCAAAACCGACCCGUGCAAUCCCAGCUGUGUUGUCGUGAGGAGAGGCAAAAGGAACAUCAUUGGAAUGGAUGGAGUCACCAACGAGGAAGACUACAAUGAGGGAAGAUGACAGUGACGAUGAAGUAUACGUCAAAAGAAGAAUCAAUACUACAUUACCUAAGAAAGAUCGUACUCCAUGGAAAAGGAAAAGACACAAAGAGGGGAUCAAUUAUUCUUCAACGAACAAGAAGGGAAAGAAGCUCACUCAAAAACGAAAACGUCGACGCUGAGAAACCGUUAUCGGUCAAAUGAUGUAAUAUAUAUGUUCCUAUUUUGUGUACACACUUAACCAUUAUGCAUGGGUCAAAUGAAAUAAUAUAUAUGUUCCUAUUUUGUAUACAUACUUAAUCGUCAAAUGAUGCAAUAUAUAUCGCCUUAGAUAUAUACAUUGUAUCACCUUCCCUUCGUUUACUGCUCCUGGAAAAAAGGAAAAGAAAAGAAAAGAAAAAGAAGAAAAGAAAAGGGAGAGAAAAUAAAGGAAAAUAAAAAAGAAGAAACAAACAGGAAAACUGCUAUAGGUACUAGUUAUAGCAGUAGCGCUUUUCUGAAAAAGAGCUAUAGCUAGUCAAGGUAGCAGUAGCGUUGUCUGGGGAAACACACUAUAGCUACCUGUGAUAGCAGCAACGCUUUUUGGCUAAACGCGCUAUAGCUAACUUAGCUAUAGCGCGUUUUGCCGGAACGCGCUACUACUAUCUUGACUUAACCCCCCAAAUCCCCACUCUCUGCUUCUUCCCGCCUCUGCUUCUUCCCCCAAAUCCCCAGUCUCUCUUCCCCCCUAGUCGCAGCCGGAGCCCUGCCCUCGCCGCGCCCCUGCGCUCGCCCUCGACCCCGGCGCUCGCCCUCGACCCCCCANNNNNNNNNNNNNNNNNNNNNNNNNNNNNNNNNNNNNNNNNNNNNNNNNNNNNNNNNNNNNNNNNNNNNNNNNNNNNNNNNNNNNNNNNNNNNNNNNNNNNNNNNNNNNNNNNNNNNNNNNNNNNNNNNNNNNNNNNNNNNNNNNNNNNNNNNNNNNNNNNNNNNNNNNNNNNNNNNNNNNNNNNNNNNNNNNNNNNNNNNNNNNNNNNNNNNNNNNNNNNNNNNNNNNNNNNNNNNNNNNNNNNNNNNNNNNNNNNNNNNNNNNNNNNNNNNNNNNNNNNNNNNNNNNNNNNNNNNNNNNNNNNNNNNNNNNNNNNNNNNNNNNNNNNNNNNNNNNNNNNNNNNNNNNNNNNNNNNNNNNNNNNNNNNNNNNNNNNNNNNNNNNNNNNNNNNNNNNNCGCCUCGCCUCGGUGCCGCGCUAUCUCCCCCGACCCCAUCUCUCUCUCUCUCCUCCCCUCUUCUCUGCUAUUUAGUGCUAGUUAGUAUGAAAUAGUAUGAAUACUAGGCUAUUUUUUAGUGUAAGAAAAAACAUAUGAUUAUAUAGGUUUCUUGCAUUUUUUUAGUUAAAGCAAUUGUUGCUAUUUAAAUUUUAUAGUGCUAGUUAGUUAAUUAGAAUUAGUAUGAAACCUAGGACAGAUUAGUUAAAGAUCCUGUUGCUAUUUAAAUUUUUUUAGUUAAAGCAAUUGUUGCUAUUUAAAAAAAACGAAUUUGAAGUGGACAGAUUAGUUAAAGCAAUUGUUGCUAUUUAAUUUUUUUAGUUAAAGCAAUUGUUGCUAUUUAAGAAAACAUAAUUUGAAGUGGACAGAUUAGUUGAAGCAACUGUUGCUAUUUAAAUUUUUUGGUUAAAGCAAUUGUUGCUAUUUUUUAGUUUCAAAUUUAGGUAGGCUGAAUUUAGUUUAGAAUAUUGUGAAGAAAAAUGACUUCUUGCAUUUUUUCUUCAUGUUCUAUAUUUUUCUUCCUUUUAUAUGCAAAUUUGAAGUGGUCAUAUGAUAUGUGGACAUGUGAUUUGGACAUGUCAUAUUUGGAAUUUGGACAUGUCAUAUUUGGAAUUUGGACAUGUCAUUUGGACAUGUGAUGUUUUGGACAUGUCAUAUUUGGAAAAUGAUGAUUAUGUGCAGGGUAAAUGAUCCGAGUGGCCUAUGUUUCGCCGGAAUGUUGAUUCAUUUCCGUUCCGGUGAAUUUUAGGCGUCCGAUAUGUCCACUUUUAGCAAAGGUCAUGCCGAAUUUUUUCGUGAAUUUUGGCAUGACUUGUGCUAGAAAGUAGGCAUAUCGAGUGCCGGGAUUUGCUGGGAAACGACAUUCCGGCAAACAUAGAUCUUUUUUUAUGUCAUUUCUCAUUUUUUAUAGUUUUAGAAUUAAACGAGGAGACUUAACCAUAGGAAACUUGUCAAACAACGAAGAAACCGGGCCCUCUGACCAAGAUACAGACGAGAUGGAUUAUGAGGGUGAACAAUAGUACCUUGACUUUUUUUCUCGUGAAAGCAAAUUUGUACAUAGACGAGAAGUAAAUAUGUGCUUCUUGUGAAAAUAUAGUUUUUUUUCAAGAAGUACAGUUGUGCUUCUCACAAAAACACAUAUAUGCCACGAGAAACAAAUCAGUGUCUCUGAUGGAAGCAUGGAUUUUUUCCCCUUUUCUGAAAAGCAUAGAUGUGCUUCUUGCGAAAGCAAAUAUGUGCCUCCAUGAAGCAUAAAUUUUCCCCUUUUCUGAGAAGCACGGUUGUGCCUUUCACGGAAACAUAAACUUUUUCACGCAAAAAAACAUCUGUGAUUUUUCUCAGCAAAACAUGGGGAGGACCUAGUGAAAAUCAAAAGGCCAAAAGGACCGGGAAAAACUAUAUAAAAUGCGUAAGAAAAACAAACGAAAUCCAGAGGGAGCACCAAACAUGCGACAUCUGGCGCGCACCACUUGACGUGCUCCCAAGGCACCAAAAGUGUCCCUUGGAGGCCUCAACGAGGGUAACUUCCAGUUAGUUGCCCAAAAAAAACUCAUCUCUCUUUGUGUUUUUUUAUUAAAACUCUCAAAUUAUGACAACUAAUAACAUAUAAUAAAAUGUGACACCUGUCACCAUCAGAAAAGACCUGAUAACUUUUGCUAAAGGUACGCCUUAAUCAGCGAUUUCGCCGUCGCCUCGUAUUGUAUCAAUCCGACUCGUUUUGUGAGAGUACGAUUUCUUGACGGAACGGACUCGUCGUGUGAAGCAUGGGCUCGCCGGCUCGUGGGCCGAAAAAGAGGGCCACAUCUUUAAGCUUUGGGAUGUCCGUGAAGCAUUUCGGAUACAUCGCAUUUGUCUCCUCUCCCGAGCUCCUGUGCUCCCCUGCUCACCUACCAGUCCCGUCUUCCCAAGAUUUCCAGAUCAAGCAGAGAGCCAUGGCGAACCUCCUCUCCUCGGCCCCGAUCCACGCGUCGCUCCCGGACUGCUUCGUCUUCCCGCCCGAUCAGCGCCCGCCGGCCUCCUCUCAGGCCGUCUCCCUCCCGGUCAUCGACCUCUCUCGCGGCCGCGACGAGGUCCGCCGCGCCGUCCUCGACGCCGGCAAGGAGCUCGGGUUCUUCCAGGCCAGUCCAAACUCACAGAUCCCUUUCAAUUAUAUACUUCAUCUCUCGGUAUUUCGUGGUCAAAGCACCUGACCGGCUGACCGCCGCGCGGUGAUGUGUGCAGGUGGUCAACCACGGCGUCUCUGCGGAGGCGAUACGGGACAUGGAGGCGGUGUGCGCGGAGUUCUUCCGGCUCCCUGCGGAGGAGAAGGCGGCCUUCUACUCGGAGGACACGGACAAGCCCAACCGGCUCUUCUCCAGCACCACCUACGAGCUCGGCGAUGAGAAGUACUGGCGGGACUGCCUCCGCCUCGCUUGCGGCUCGCCCGUCGGCGACACCAAGAACAACUGGCCCGACAAGCCCAAAAAGCUCCGGUAAAUUCACGAUGCCAACUCAAUCAUAUGAUACCCGAUUUUUUUUUUUGAUUUGACUAAUUUUUUGUGUUGACUGCAGCGAGGUGGUGGAGAAGUUCGUGGAGCCGACGAGAGGCGUGGGGAUGGAGCUGCUGCGGCUGCUGUGCGAGGGCAUGGGGCUCCGUCCGGACUACUUCGAAGGGGACCUCACCGGCGGCAACGUGAUCAUCAACGUUAACCACUACCCGCCGUGCCCUGCCCCGGGCCUGACGCUCGGCCUGCCGCCCCACUGCGACCGGAACCUCAUCACUCUCCUGCUCCAGAGCACCGUGCCCGGCCUCCAGGUCUCCUACAAGGGCGACUGGAUCAACGUCGAGUCCGUGCCCAACGCCUUCGUCGUCAACUUCGGCCACCUGCUCGAGGCAUCCAUCCAUUGAUCACUUCCCCCUUUCCCUCAGAUUGCUCAUUUUUCAAUGUGGGAUUAAUGAUGCAGAUUGCGACCAACGGGGUUUUGAAGAGCAUCGAGCACCGGGCGAUGACCAACGCCGCGCUGGCACGGACGUCGGUGGCGACGUUCAUCAUGCCGGCCGCGGACAUCCCCAUCGGCCCAGCGGAGGAGCUCGUCGGCGAGGGCAACCCGCCGCGCUACCGCACUGUCACUUUCGACGAGUUCAUGCGCGUGUACAAGACCGUCGGCGCGCGGAGGGAGAGCGUGGAGAAGGCCUUCAAGCUUUAGACCUCAGCUCACCUGUAUCUGAUUUGGAGAACAGUUGCAGAGCAGCAAAGAAACUUGAUUGGUGAUCUAGCUACUAGGUCGGAGUAAAAUAAAUUUAAAAACAGCAACUGGUGAUUGUGAGGUGGAAAUCACGUUUCUGCUAUAUCGACGCUGCUUGAUUCGAGAAUACAAGUUCAAUGUGUGUCCGUGUAUCAUUUACACAUGGGUGGGUAAAAUCAUCG